CGAAUCCUGUCUUGCCUUGUUUGUGUCUGAUGUUUAUAUCUGUCUUUCCGUUUUGGGAAAUUUCAGGACAGUUUCUUCGCUUCCUUUGCCCUUGGAUGGCUCAUCACCAACGGUGCUGGUCUUGCAUCUUACCCAAUCGACACAGUCCGUAGAAGAAUGAUGAUGACCUCCGGUGAAGCCGUGAAGUACAAGAGCUCCAUGGAUGCAUUCCAACAGAUCCUGAAGAAGGAAGGACCCAAGUCUCUGUUCAAGGGUGCUGGUGCCAACAUCCUUCGUGCUAUCGCAGGUGCUGGUGUGCUCUCUGGAUACGACAAGCUCCAGUUACUUCUUCUUGGAAAGAAGUACGGAUCUGGAUCCGGUUAAGCAUACUAAUCCACCAAACAGUUAAAAAGCUUCGGCUUUAUUUUUAUUUUUCUCGAUUUAAUUUGCAGUUUUUUCAGACUUUUUUUAAAAAGGUCAAGAUGUUGAUGAAAUCUUUUGCUAUAAAAACUAGAGAGGAGGCAAGGGGAAUUUUUCUUAUUGAAUAAAUUUUGUAUGGGGAUGGAGUUUGACUCUCUCCUUGGAACCAAUUUUCGAUUGUGACUUUUGUUCUAUUAAGUUUAACCGGUUUUUAAUAUUUUGAGGAUAUCUUUUAACAUUAUUAUAUCAAGUUGAAACAUUCGGUUUCAUAUAUUUGAAGGUUCUGUAGUUUACUGAACUAAUCACGUCAUUAGACAUUGCAAUCACUAGUCUCUGUCGCUUGGUUCAUUACAAUGGGAAAAGUAUCGACUCUGCUUCUCUUUCUCUUGCCUUUCUGCUUCUUUCUUUUUACGUAUAAUCUCCUCAACCUUAUUAUCCACAAUAGAUCUGGUGUCAUUAAUUUAGAUGCAAGUCCACUUCUAGAUCCUCUGCCUCAUAGAAAGGCCAAAACCUCUUCACCAUUACUAUUUCAUGUUGCCGUAACAGCUUCAGAUUCUCUUUACAAUAAGUGGCAGUGUCGUAUAAUGUAUUAUUGGUACAAACAGAAGAAAGCUCUUCCCCGUUCAGACAUGGGAGGCUUCACUCGCAUUUUGCAUUCUGGUACAACCGAUAACUUGAUGGAUGAGAUACCAACAUUUGUCGUUGAUCCUCUUUCCCCAGGUCUUGAUCAGGUGAGACACUUUCUUUUCAUCUCGAGUUUUUGGUGCUAAUCUAAUAGUUUAAAUGUACUUAGGGGUAUGUUGUCUUAAAUAGACCGUGGGCAUUCGUGCAAUGGCUUGAAAGAGCUACCAUAAAGGAAGAGUUAAGUCCUGUCUCCUUUCCUACAAGACAACCAAAACACUGUUUGCUAAAAUCUCCUGCAUAUGUUGUUGGUGCAGCUAUGUCCUUAUGGCAGAGCCUGAUCAUAUAUUUGUUAACCCUCUUCCCAAUUUGGCUGUUGGAGGAUCACCAGCAGCUUUUCCGUUUUUCUAUAUCACACCUCAAAAGUUCAAGAACAUAGUUAGAAAGUAUUAUCCAGUGGAGAUGGGACCUGUGACAAAUAUUGUCACCUUUUUUUUUAAUUACUGGAUGAUGUUUUGAGUUAUUGAUGUAUUGUUUACUUUUCUAGGCAUUGAACUUUGCAUUCAAAGAUUACUUCAAGAGGCUUUUCAACUUCAAGAAGGACAGGGAUGGUUACUGGAAGUGGUUUGCUGGUAACUUGGGAUCUGGAGGUGCUGCUGGUGCUUCUUCCCUUCUCUUUGUGUACUCUCUUGACUAUGCACGUACCCGUCUCGCCAAUGACUCCAAGGCAGCCAAGAAAGGAGGUGAAAGGCAGUUCAAUGGUCUUGUCGAUGUCUACAAGAAGACUCUCAAGUCUGAUGGUAUUGCUGGGCUUUACCGUGGAUUCAACAUCUCCUGUGUUGGUAUCAUUGUCUACCGUGGUCUCUACUUUGGUCUGUACGACUCUUUGAAGCCUCUCCUCCCUGCUGACCUCCAGGUUUGUUUAUAUUACAGAUUUAGAAAUCCGAAUCCUGUCUUGCCUUGUUUGUGUCUGAUGUUUAUAUCUGUCUUUCCGUUUUGGGAAAUUUCAGGACAGUUUCUUCGCUUCCUUUGCCCUUGGAUGGCUCAUCACCAACGGUGCUGGUCUUGCAUCUUACCCAAUCGACACAGUCCGUAGAAGAAUGAUGAUGACCUCCGGUGAAGCCGUGAAGUACAAGAGCUCCAUGGAUGCAUUCCAACAGAUCCUGAAGAAGGAAGGACCCAAGUCUCUGUUCAAGGGUGCUGGUGCCAACAUCCUUCGUGCUAUCGCAGGUGCUGGUGUGCUCUCUGGAUACGACAAGCUCCAGUUACUUCUUCUUGGAAAGAAGUACGGAUCUGGAUCCGGUUAAGCAUACUAAUCCACCAAACAGUUAAAAAGCUUCGGCUUUAUUUUUAUUUUUCUCGAUUUAAUUUGCAGUUUUUUCAGACUUUUUUUAAAAAGGUCAAGAUGUUGAUGAAAUCUUUUGCUAUAAAAACUAGAGAGGAGGCAAGGGGAAUUUUUCUUAUUGAAUAAAUUUUGUAUGGGGAUGGAGUUUGACUCUCUCCUUGGAACCAAUUUUCGAUUGUGACUUUUGUUCUAUUAAGUUUAACCGGUUUUUAAUAUUUUGAGGAUAUCUUUUAACAUUAUUAUAUCAAGUUGAAACAUUCGGUUUCAUAUAUUUGAAGGUUCUGUAGUUUACUGAACUAAUCACGUCAUUAGACAUUGCAAUCACUAGUCUCUGUCGCUUGGUUCAUUACAAUGGGAAAAGUAUCGACUCUGCUUCUCUUUCUCUUGCCUUUCUGCUUCUUUCUUUUUACGUAUAAUCUCCUCAACCUUAUUAUCCACAAUAGAUCUGGUGUCAUUAAUUUAGAUGCAAGUCCACUUCUAGAUCCUCUGCCUCAUAGAAAGGCCAAAACCUCUUCACCAUUACUAUUUCAUGUUGCCGUAACAGCUUCAGAUUCUCUUUACAAUAAGUGGCAGUGUCGUAUAAUGUAUUAUUGGUACAAACAGAAGAAAGCUCUUCCCCGUUCAGACAUGGGAGGCUUCACUCGCAUUUUGCAUUCUGGUACAACCGAUAACUUGAUGGAUGAGAUACCAACAUUUGUCGUUGAUCCUCUUUCCCCAGGUCUUGAUCAGGUGAGACACUUUCUUUUCAUCUCGAGUUUUUGGUGCUAAUCUAAUAGUUUAAAUGUACUUAGGGGUAUGUUGUCUUAAAUAGACCGUGGGCAUUCGUGCAAUGGCUUGAAAGAGCUACCAUAAAGGAAGAGUUAAGUCCUGUCUCCUUUCCUACAAGACAACCAAAACACUGUUUGCUAAAAUCUCCUGCAUAUGUUGUUGGUGCAGCUAUGUCCUUAUGGCAGAGCCUGAUCAUAUAUUUGUUAACCCUCUUCCCAAUUUGGCUGUUGGAGGAUCACCAGCAGCUUUUCCGUUUUUCUAUAUCACACCUCAAAAGUUCAAGAACAUAGUUAGAAAGUAUUAUCCAGUGGAGAUGGGACCUGUGACAAAUAUUGAUCCCAUUGGCAGUUCUCCUGUUAUCAUAAGCAAGGUGAGAUUUGAUUCUCUGUGCUUUAUGUAUUAAACUUUAUGCUGAUAUGCAUUUACUUUCUUAUGCAGAAAUCACUUGAGAAGAUUACUCCUACAUGGAUGAAUAUCUCCCUGACAAUGAAACAUGAUCCAGACACUGAUAAGGCAUUUGGAUGGGUUCUAGAAAUGUUAGCACUGGAAACAAACAUCUGUAUUCAUAUAUCUUAGUUCCAUGACUUUUCAUUGUUUUUGCUGACACAGUCUCUUUUAUGUUUUGAUAAGGUACGGUUACGCAAUUGCAUCUGCUCUGCAUGGGGUGCGGCACAUGCUAAGGAGGGAUCUCAUGCUUCAGGUAGGAAUCAACCAUCUGCUGAGUAACGUUAAUGAUAUUCUUUUCAAUGUCUUUGUUCUGUGUUACUAAGGGAUCUCAUCUUAUCUUUUAGCCUCCAUGGGAUUUGUCUACCAAGGCGAUGUUUAUUAUCCACUACACUUAGGCAUGCGAUUACAACAUGAAGGUGAUUUUUCCUUCAUUUUAUUCUUUGCAGAUUAUACAUCUUGGCUAUCACUACUUGUGCAAUCUUGUGGUCAUUCGUUGUUGCUUAGUAUGUUUAACUUUUUGUAGUACAAGUUCUUGAAACUACUAAGUUUUGUUUUAAACCUUGUACAUGGUCCUUAACGUAGGAUUUUUAAAUACAGGGUGAGCUGACAUAUGGCAAAAUAGGAGAGUGGCGAUUUGAUAAGAGAUUAUAUCUGAGAGGUCCCCCUCCGAGGAACAUCUCUAUGCCGCCUCCCGGUGUUCCAGAGAGUGUGGUAUGUUAUAUACUUACCACUUAAUGUAAUCCUAUUAUAAAACAAAAAUACUGAUCUAAGGUCCAUCCAUAGCUCAUAAGGGAACUUACUCGCAUCCUAUCCAUUGAGACUAUAUAGACCAAUAACAAGUCUGAUUGGGUUAGUUUCCAAUAUCUAUAGGAGUUACAGUGUUUCAGGGAUGCCACUUGUGGUCAAUCAUUGGCAAGAAGUGUGUUAGUUAGAAGCCAAACUGUAUAUAACUUGCCUAAAAACUAUUUUGUGUUUGUGGUGGUGGUGAUGCAGGUGACUCUUGUGAAGAUGUUGAACGAAGCUACAUCAAAUAUCCCUAACUGGGACACUCUCUAACUCACAUCCACUAGACACAAACCAUAGCAAGGACUACUAAUUCAUACAUCAUAUUUUGCCAAAUGAACAGUUUACUUUCUUUUUUUUUACUUUCAGUUUAACAAUGACUAUGGUGUGAGAUAAUGUUCAAGAAGUGGUUAGGUGAUAGUAAAAUGAUAUUAGCAUAGAUGGUGAAGAUUACUGAUGAGUAUUGAGUAACGUGAUGAAGCGGCGGUACUAUACUCCAUAACCGGACCAGAUAAAAAAUACUCCACAACCAGCCCAGACCAAAAAAUUACUUCAUAACCAGACCAGACCAAACAAAUACUUUAUAACCAGAGCAGACCAAAGAAACCAGACGGUGAUGGUCCUGUCUAAAAGACAAACGGUUCCAACUAGACGGAGUUAAUAGUUCCGUCAACCAAACCUAUUUAUCCAUGAAUUAAUAAAUUAAAAUAUAUUAAAAAAGGAAGACAGAGAGACUGUUUGAAGUGAUCUAUCUCCUUCCUCAACCUCAGACACAGUUCUCCUCUAUCUUCUCAGAGCAAAAAUGGAGGUCGCUCUUCUCUCAUUCUCCUCUUCCAUCUCUCCUCUCUCCCACAACCGAGCCUUAACCCUAUCUCCCAAACUCUCCAAACCCUCCAACUACCCUCGCCUCCCAGUCAUCAGAUCCGCCGUGUCACGCUCCAAGAAGGAAGAAACCGUCGAGACAGUCAAGUCCCAUCUCGAGAACUGCCACCUCCUCGCCGCCAUCAACUACAAAGGCCUCACCGUCAAGCAGUUCCAAGACCUCCGCAGAACUCUCCCAGAAACAACAAAGCUCGUCGUCGCCAAGAACACACUCGUCUUCAAAGCCAUCGAAGGCACCAAAUGGGAAGCUCUCAAGCCUUGUAUGAAAGGCAUGAACGCUUGGCUCUUCGUUCAGACCGAUGAGAUCCCUUCCGCCAUCAAACCGUACCGGAGCUUCCAGAAGGAACGCAAGCUCGAAGACAAUGACUUCGCCGGUGCUGUCUUCGAAGGUAAGUUCUACGCUCCAGACAACUUCAAGGCCCUUGAGACGAUGCCUACACGAGCUGAGGUUUACGCUAAGAUGCUAGGAGCUCUCCAGAGUCCGGCGAUUAAUCUCGUCUCUACUUUACAAGCACCGGCGAUCGAGGUUAUCAUGGUGCUUAAGGCUUAUGUCAAGAAGCUAGAAGAUGAGAGUAACAAUGCAUAAUUAGUUAAAAGCAAUUCACUUUCUUGUUUAUGACUAAAGCAGCAAGCAAUUGUUUAUUACAGUUUUAUUAUUGAAAUGUUUUUUUUUAAAAGAUGGGUCUUUGUUUAGAUGUACUUAGAGAGGAUAGACUCAACUACUCCCUGAGCUAUGGGGUGGUAAGUCUCUCGUGCUUCUGCAAACACCUGUUUCGCCAGCUGCUUCUCUUCUGUUCCACCUGAUUGUGCAAGAGCGUUGAAGAGUGGACGCAGGUACUUCAUCCUUCCCACGGUUUUUAGAGUUUUCUCCACUUCUCCAUGGUACUCUCUGCACUUGGACGAGAUUGCAACUUGUAGAAACGACACCUUCACUUCGUAGUCCUUUGAUUCUGCUAGUCUGUAGCGCUUGUCCAACGCUAUGACCUGAUUCACCAAUAAGCAAACAAACAUUCAAUCUCCCAACACCUCCACAAAUUGUUUCCCCUCUACUUGUGCACUGAUCCAAGACUAACUAUUGAGCUAAACAAACAGCUUCCCAUUAUCUUAGAGUAAGUACCUGAGAAGGUUCACAUGAUUUAGGAAGAUUCUCCAAGUAGAGCUCCCAUUCCUGACCCUUCCACUCAGCAACCUCAUCCUCACUUGGCAUCUUUCCUUGCUUAAACUCUUCUGCCAACGAUAUGAUCUUUGUGUAAAUGGUUGAGACUGGUUCAUAUGCAUCUUCCGGUAUACCAACGCCUUCAGUCCACAGCUCUAGGUUGAUCUCUUUCUCUAUCCCAGGGAUGUUCGCUUUCAAGAAAUCAAGAAACGUAUCUGUAUCAAUCGACUUGAACUUGAACGUAGCAAUGUAUUUCUUGAGGAACUCGUCGAAAGCAGUCCUCCCAACCUGAAAGUUUCCCCAUACAUAAAAUUACAUUAGAAAAGCACUUAAGUGGAUCAAGUUAGGGACUCAAAACUAACCUGACGUUCGAUUCUCAACACAAACUGGAACCCUUUUUCGUAAGGAACCUGAGAGUAAACAUCAUCUGGAUCAACACCUUGUUGAUUAUUCUUGAGCUUAGUGCACUCCAAAUUGUCUUUAAAACGUUCCAUCUCAUCUUUUAGACCUCUCCAGCCAAUCCCCAUGUUCAAAGUAGCUAUAUCCGCUCCUUGAACAACCUCCACAAUCCUCCUCUCUGCGUAAGUUGUAAACCCCUAUCGCCAUAAACACAUGAACAAAUAAACUCUUACCCAUCAACAAAGUCAUGAACUUUAAGGUAGAGUAGCUUAUGCAGUCAAUCAAAAACACAUAAAGUUAACUUUUUACCCAUCAACAAAGCAAACACUAAUCAUACUCUUAAUCCAUAUCCCCUGAACCAAACUCUUAAUCGUUCUUAUUCCUGUUUGCAACUAAAAGAAGCAAAAGCAACGAACAGUCCAAAGCUAUAAAAACAUAUAUAAAGUUAGCUUCUUUCCCAUCAACAAGGCAAACACUAAUCAUACUCUUAAUCCAUAUCCCCCUGAACCAAACUCUUAAUCGUUUGUAUCCCUGCUUGUAGCUAAAGGAAGCAAAAACACCAGAACAAUCCAACGCUAACUAACUAACACAUCUAUUCAUCUUCAAGAGCUGUGAUCAUAAACAUACCUCUAUUGACAUAAACAUAUAAAUUUUGCUUCUUUCUCAUUAACAAGGCAAACACUAAUCAUACUCUUAACCCACAUCCCCUGAACCAUACUCUUAACCGCUAACUAACUAACUAACUAACACAUCUACUCAUCUUCAAUAACACACCUCAUUCAACCAGAAAUGCUCGUUGUUAACGUUAGUAAUCAAGUUCCCAGUCCAGCUAUGCGCAAGCUCAUGAGCCACAACCUGACCCCCAGAGGCAUCCCCUUUAAUCACAGUAGGCGUCAAAAACACCAUCCUCGGAUUCUCCAUCCCACCAUAAGGAAAACUCGGAGGCAACACAAGCAAAUCAAACCUCUCCCAAUCAUACUCCCCAAAAAGCUUCUCCCCUUGCCUAAUCAUCUCCUCAGCCCCAGCAAACUCCACCUCAGCCGCAUCAAGAACCUCCACGUCAGCAGACUCCGCGUACACCCUCGUCCUGGGCCCCACUUCUCGAAACCCCAACUCCCCAACCGCAAACGCGAACAGAUACGGAGGAAUCGGCUGCUCCAUAACAAACUCUUCCACGACUCUAUCCUCCGCGCACCAGCAUAAAGAGGAGUCGAGAUGGGUUGCUUCCUCGGGGAGAGGGAGCCUCCGACGCACGUGACGAGCAGACAUAACGGCGGAGAGAGAGGCGGGAAUGUUCAUAACGACGUCGUAGCGGAUACGACGAGCGGGGGUGUCUUGGCAGGGGAAGAUGGAUCUGGCGUGGAUGGCUUGGCACUGUGUGUAGACGUAAGGGUGGGUUUUGGAGAAGGUCUGAGGCGGGGAGAGCCAUUGGAGAGCGGAGGCGGCGGGGGAGGUUGAGUAGAUGAGCAAGAUUUGGGAUUGGCCGGAGAGGACGACGGAGAUCUCGGUGCCGCGGAUUGGAUCGGGGGUUGGGGAGAGGGAGUGAGGGAGAGGGUGGAGGGUUUGGGGGUCGAGGAUGGAGGAGAGGGAGAGGGAGCGGGAGUCGAGGGAGAGGGUGCCGGAGAAGGGGGAGGAGAGGGUGAGGAGAGCGGAGGCGUGGAUGGUGGAGGUGGGGAAGGAGAGGUAGAGGGAGAGGGACACGUGGGUUGUUAGAGGGUGGGUGGAGUCGGUGAAGGAGUGUGGGUCUAUGGGUGCCAUUGGAGGAGACGACAAGUUUCGAUUUUUUUUUGACGGUGAGGGUUCCGAUCAGAGACGGAGUGAUGAAGGAGAGAGAGUAUAAAGCGGGAGAAAAUAGUACUCCCUCCGUUUUUUAUUAUAAGUCGUUUUAGAGAAACUUUUUUGUUCCAAAUUAUAUGUCGUUUUCAAUUUUCUAUGUAAAAUUUAUUAAUAAUUAAUGUUAUAUGACCAAUGGUAAUAUAUCUUAUAUUUUUUUAUUGGUUGAAUUGUGGUUAGGUAAAUAAUUAAUGAUGUUUUUGUUUAGAAAAUAUAAGAAAUUAAUGGUUUUCUUAAUCUACGUGUAUAGCUAUAAAACGACUUAUAUUAAAAAACGGAGGGAGUAUUAAACAAAUAAUUUAAUUAGAGGAAUCAUUUGUUUGGUAAUGGAGAAUAUCAUUUAAUUACAAUUAGGAAUAAUAUUUUUGCUGACUUUCUGUUCCAUGGAAAUACAGAAGUGAAGAAGAAGCAUUCUCCAAGUUAUGGUUGUUGUGAAUCAAAACGAGAAGACACUAAAGAUUAGUUACAGAGUUGGAGUAUAUGUUUGAUGAUCACUGCAGGCAGCAAUCAGGAGCACACAACAUAAACAUAGCCACGCAAUAGUUGAAAGACAAAAGAAAGUUGAAAGCAUCCUUUGGUGAACACAUGUUUAUAUACCUAGGGCUGGUCGUUUUAUCUGUUAAAUCUGAUUGUCUUGGAAGCAAAGCAAAUACAAAAAAUUAAUAUCCGUUAAAAACGAAGUAAAUUAUAAAUACUAAAAAAAAAUUCUGUGGAGAAAAGGCAGGCCAUGGAUUGGUGAUCCUGUUGAUGUAGUUCUUGAUGAACCUUUAGGCUGAAUCACCAAGUGUACGAUUAUGUUUUGAAGAUUGAUCAUUAGCUCUUGUCCCAACACAGGUGAUCUAUCACUCACUUUGUCAUCUCAUGAUGAUUUAUGAAUACUUUUGCUAGUAAACUAUAGAGAUGUAGGAGAUAUUUAGGGUUGUAUAAUCUGUUAUGUUUAGCCACCAAUUUCAAGUGACAUCUCCUUUUGUUUCUGUCAUGAUAUUUCAUUUCCAGGCAGUAUUUGCGCACUGGAAAAUUGUUGUUUGGGAUUUGAUCUCAAAUGGUUUUGUUGUCGGAACAAAACAUAUCCAAUGACUAUAAAUAUGCUAUAACUAUAAAUUGUUAUAAAACAUAUGUAAUGGCUUUAUAAAUGACUUCAUAAAUUGUUACAAACAAAAAAAUUUCAGUUUUUCAAAAUCUUGUGGCAGCUUCAAAAGUGUAUGAAAGCUUCCAAAAGGUUUUUAAAUUCUUUACUAGUCUUUCCAAAAUAUGAGAACUUUCAGAAGUUUCCAGCAUUUUCAACAAUGUUUUCUACUCAGCACUACAAACACAUGACGAGCCUAGCAAGUGAGUGCUUUCAGUUUAUUCAGAGUAGGCAUACAACAAGCAGUUACCAUACAGAUUAGCAAAGGAGCUUGGGAGUUAACGACCAAAGAAGGUAAAGAGAAAAACAUAAAAGUGUAUGUGAGCACGCGUGUGAUGGUCAUAUUAUUCUGAGUUUCUGGACUAUUACUACUACUGUACUAUUGAAGUUCUUUCUCAAGUUCAUCGAACUCCCAUCCAUCAACCUCAUCUGCAGAGUAAUCACGACCCACCUUCCCAAAUUCAGAUUCUAGCUCGGCUAGUUCAGAUUCAGGGUUCAAUUCCUGACUGGAACCAGUAGCAGUAGUAGUCGGUGAUGCCUCGGUAGGAUUUCUCACCUCUGGCUUUUGGGUCAGAGACUUAACUGGAGCAUCCAUGCUACUACUGCUGGGCAUAAGAGAUUUGGGUGAUGCAGCAGCACUGCUUUUAGGUGAUGGAGUUUCUAUCUCUAAUAUUGGCCUUGCAAUGGAUUCAAACUCCUGCCUCAUUUUCUCCAUGUCAUCAAAGAGCUCUUUCACACGCCGGUCUUCCUUCCUGGUAUAAUUAUACGAGUUCAGAAACUUGGCGAUAAUAAAAUUCUACCGAUCAAUAAAGAGUCAAGAGAGUAAUGUUUACUACUCACUUUUCCAGUUUGCUUUGGAGGACUUGGAAAUGCUCUUUCAUGUUAUCCACAAUGCUGAAAGUGGUAAUGAUCUGAUUUUAUACAAAACCAGAUUAGUCACUAGGAAGAGCAAUGAAAAAAAUCAAUAGUGCAAAUCUUACCUUAGUCUCAUAGUCUAGAUACUCCUGCUCUAGACUCUUCCUUGGGCUUGAAACCUGAUUCUCCCCCUCAUCUGCAUUUGGUGGCAUCUCUGACCUGUCACCACCAUAUGCAAAAACUGUAUGUAUUAAGCCAGAAACGAAGCAAUCUAAUUCAACAAGAGGCAUUUACCCAGGACCAAGAUUCUUCAGGUUUUCCACAUAAUUCUCUAUACGGCUUAUCAAAGGUGCCACCUCCUUCUGUUACAAUAUAAAGUUCUGUGUUAGCUCUGUCAUUUACCAACUACUAGUUAAAAUUUCCAUAAACACAAAGAGCUUACCUUGUACGUAGAGAGUAUAUUAAAAGCCACAUCGGAAAAGUAAUCCUCAUGCUUCUCCAACUCAUCCCUACGACAUGCAUCCACUAUUAUUAUCCCUUGUGGUUAAGCAGCAGAGAAAAAAAUAUAUAGCGAGAAAGAGCUGAGAGUUUGAUAGAAAUACAAAGUCUGCUUAUCCUUCUUUUCGGUAUAAGAGCAUUGAUGAAGCCAUGUAUCCUCGAGGAAACUAAUCCAGGUCUUGAUAACUUCUGACUCUUUCUUACAAGCUACAAUUGAUUUGGACAGGUCAUCCUCCUGCAUGCAGAAUCAAAUUAUUUCAUGCGGAAAUUAUUUGACCACGAGAGCUACUCAUCUUAGAGGAAAAUGCCAACCUUUGUUUUCAGGUGAGCGAUUAUCUGAUCGUUGGCUUCACCAAAUUGAUCCCUCUCUUCUGUCGCAUCACGGAACCGAGCUUGAGCAGCAGCUAAUGAUAUAUUGACCUAUAUGGAAAGAAUAUUCAUUUUCAUACCUUCCAUACCACAAUAAACAUAUGCUCAAAUCAAAUAGAAGUGCUUUACAUACCCUCUUCAGUUCAGCUUCCAACUCAUCUCUUUGUUUCACAAGCUGUGCAAUUUCCUCAGCCAAUUCCUGUACAUAAUAAAUAAUAAGAAAGAAUCUCAAUACUUACAGCUGAUGAACAUACAGAAGAAUGCUGUUUUAUCUUGAAUUGAAUAACCAAAAGAACAAAUAAAAGAGGGGGAGACAGAACCUUUUCCUUUUCACCAGUUUCAUUUGCUUUCACCACACGAGCUUUAAGCGCCUCUUCUUUCUGAAGCCUGCGAAGAGACAAUUGGUAUCUAUUAAUGGCGUUUUCCUUCAAGGCAAGCUUUGAUGAAAAUCAAAAUUAAUUAAACAACAGCAAGUAAGUCUUAACUGCAGAUAUGAAGAUAAGCUUUUACCUGUUCUCUGAUAUUCGUUUCUCGGCUUUGGUAGUUGAAUUUGCUAAAGAUUCCAAUAACACCUUCAGCUUGUCGACCUUGUUCAAAGACAAAUUAUUCAUUAUCUUCCAUGCUUAUCAUUCUCUCUAACAUCUAGACUAGAAGUCAUGAGUGGGGCAAGAUGAUAAUUAACAAUACUAAUCAACUUGUAUAGAGAUAAUGAUUUGAGGAUAAUAAAGCCCACAAACUUACUUUCUGAGCAUGUAUAUCUGGUGAAUCACCGUUGCUUAGUUGUCUCUUUCUAAUUAGAAGCCCUUCUAUUCUGGAGCAAAGACGAAUCUUUGCAAGCGUUUGUUUAAGAGCCUGCAAAACAAGAAGUCUUAUCACAUGGAGCUACCUAAACGAUCUUAGGGGGAGAAAAUUGUACACUCACCUCUAUUGUUAAAGGAGCCUCUUUAACUUCCUUGUCUUCACUCUCCUGUGGAGUCUCAAAAACUUUCAUCUUUUCGAGUUUUUCUCUAAGAUCGGAAGCUUCAUCAUCAAUCCUGAAAAGAAGUAUUCAAUCAACAGUGAUGAACGAUGAGUAAGGCUCUAAACGAGAGCAAGAAGAACAUUAACAUCUUCAUUUAUCACCUCAGUAUUUCAGCACUAAUCUUCAACCCAGUGAUAGCAUUUUGGGCGAACUGAAGCAAUUCGUCCUGCUUGACCUGAACAUUGAAGAGUAAACAAGUUAGGAGGAGAUCCAAACGCAUAAAUGCUGAAUUUUAUUGCUCAAGCGCGUACCAAAACUUCAUCCUUGUAACUUGAAAAGACUGUAGAAAGAUCCUGCAUACUGCUGACAAUGGCAUCAUGAACUUCCUUUCCUCCAUUUAGACAAAUCCUGAGAACAAUGUUAUGAACGAAGUGUGUCAAUUUUCCAAAGAAAAAAAAAAAGGAAGUUUAGACUUUCUUUUAAAGCGAAAUUUUCGCAAAGCAAUUUGGUGGUUCAGCUCACCCAAACAUCUCCCGGAGUAGAGAAACUUCUUCAUCAUGUGGUGGUUCAAUAAUCUGUAAUAGAACAGUCAAACAUAGAGUUAACACUCAUAGACAGUACCAUUUUUUUCACAUAGCCCAAAAAAUAUAGGAACAAUACAAUAUUCAAAAGAUUAUGAGAAACAAGACAAAAUACAAGCUCUCACAACAUAAUAAGAGUCUACUUAAUCUGGUUUGUUCUUUAAUUUAUUUUAAGCCAAGAAAUAUAUUGUCUUCACUCUUUAACACUAAGAAAUCAAAUCAACAAUAAUGCAUCUCAAGCCUUUUGGUGGCGUUCCAAACUCUUGGAAACUUUAGAGAAUGGGGAUCGUUUGUUAUCAUCACUUAUAUCAGGUAGCCACCAAAAGUAAGUUUGGGUAGCGAAAGAAAUACCAUGGACAGGACGAUGCCCUCCAGAGCUUGACUUUGCAGGAAAACAUCGCGGAAGUUUAGUGGCUCACCUCCUAUAUCUGGAUCGUAAUACAAAACCUACACAUGGAAAGGGAUCUUCUGUUGGAAAAAGAGUCACAAAUACAGCAUAUAAAACUAAAGUCACUUAUAAUCGAACCCUUUAAUGAAAUAAAUCACCAUAAAUCACUAAAAAUAACAAUCAUAGUUAGAUGAUAUAUGAUGACAUCUUCGUUUCAAAGUUUGUCUUUUCCACUUAAUACCAAAAAGGGGAACAAAAAGAAUACCCAUUCACGCCUCUUUGCUUCAUCAGAAUCAAGUCGUUCCUCAGAACUCAUAUCUUUAUCCUUGACAGAGGUUCCACUAGCUCUAUCAAUCUCCUUAAGGACAGUUAGCCAUCUGGUGAUCAGCAAUGCCCUUUCAUGACCUCUGCAUGAGACUGCAGCUUCUUCCAGUCUCUGAAUCGUCUGAUUCACACUCUUAUAGGCCCCAACACCCUGCAAAUGAAAGAUAGAACAUUUAUAGAGCACAGUGUUCAAAUGAGUGCACUAUCACAGCAAAAUCAAAACUUGAAUCCAGAAAAGAAUAGAACUUUGCAAAGGGAAAUGAAUUUAAAAAAAGAAAAGGAAAGUGGAGAAAUUUUACAAUGCGGUCUUGGAACAAUUUGGCUCCUUCAGCAACGGCUUGACCAGCCUGCUGGACAACGGAGUCGGCAUAGUUCUUGACCUCCACCGCCUUACUCACAGCCGUUCGCAGCCACGACAUGUUUCUCGUCUAUCUUACUGGUUUACUACGGAAAGCAAUCUUCUUCUGGAGGAAGCUCGGACACAGUCAAUGUUUUUACUCGGUGGCGAUUGCUUGUAUUUUGCAAACCCACGACUAUAAACUAUUCAUUCUUUUUCUUAGAGGUGACCAUUUCGGUUUAAAUCGGUUUAGUUUGUCUAGGUCAAUCAAACUUUAAUUGAUUCUUUGGUUUGGUUUGGUUUGUAUCUAAUUUAGUUUGGUUUGAAUUUCAUUUAGUUUGUGUUGGAAUCGAUUUGAUUUGAUUUUGUUUGUGUUUGUUCAGUUCUAUUAAAUUAGUUUUUAAAAAUUUAUAAUUUAGUUAUGAAAUAUAAUUUGUAAAACAUAAAACAAAUUUUAUUCGACACUAUUUUUUUUUACAUUUAAAUAUAAAGUCAACCAUAAUGAUAAAAGUUUUAAAAAUAUAUCUAAUAAUCUAUACUAUUAUUUGCGAAGUAAAUUUUAGCAACAGAGCUUCCACAUUAAAAGUUAGAGUGGUUAAUAUCGACUAUACCCUUAAUAAAUUAAAUAUAUAAAUUAAUAAAAAAUAAAAACGAAUUUGCUUUUUUAAUAAUAUAAGUGAUUAAAACUAAUAAUAAUAAGAAUUAUCUAAAAUCUAAAAAUAUAUAUUUAUUAUAAAAAGAUAAUUCCUAUAUAUAUUAUAACAAGAUAAUUCUUAUUAUAUUGUGUUGUUAUCUUAUAUAUUGUAUUGUUAUCUUUAAAUAAUAUUUUUUAACUAUAAAAAUUGAAAUUUAAGAUAUGAAAUUAUUUAUAAUUAAAUAUUAAUCAAAAAACAUAUGUAUAAAUAAAAAAANNNNNNNNNNNNNNNNNNNNNNNNNNNNNNNNNNNNNNNNNNNNNNNNNNNNNNNNNNNNNNNNNNNNNNNNNNNNNNNNNNNNNNNNNNNNNNNNNNNNNNNNNNNNNNNNNNNNNNNNNNNNNNNNNNNNNNNNNNNNNNNNNNNNNNNNNNNNNNNNNNNNNNNNNNNNNNNNNNNNNNNNNNNNNNNNNNNNNNNNNNNNNNNNNNNNNNNNNNNNNNNNNNNNNNNNNNNNNNNNNNNNNNNNNNNNNNNNNNNNNNNNNNNNNNNNNNNNNNNNNNNNNNNNNNNNNNNNNNNNNNNNNNNNNNNNNNNNNNNNNNNNNNNNNNNNNNNNNNNNNNNNNNNNNNNNNNNNNNNNNNNNNNNNNNNNNNNNNNNNNNNNNNNNNNNNNNNNNNNNNNNNNNNNNNNNNNNNNNNNNNNNNNNNNNNNNNNNNNNNNNNNNNNNNNNNNNNNNNNNNNNNNNNNNNNNNNNNNNNNNNNNNNNNNNNNNNNNNNNNNNNNNNNNNNNNNNNNNNNNNNNNNNNNNNNNNNNNNNNNNNNNNNNNNNNNNNNNNNNNNNNNNNNNNNNNNNNNNNNNNNNNNNNNNNNNNNNNNNNNNNNNNNNNNNNNNNNNNNNNNNNNNNNNNNNNNNNNNNNNNNNNNNNNNNNNNNNNNNNNNNNNNNNNNNNNNNNNNNNNNNNNNNNNNNNNNNNNNNNNNNNNNNNNNNNNNNNNNNNNNNNNNNNNNNNNNNNNNNNNNNNNNNNNNNNNNNNNNNNNNNNNNNNNNNNNNNNNNNNNNNNNNNNNNNNNNNNNNNNNNNNNNNNNNNNNNNNNNNNNNNNNNNNNNNNNNNNNNNNNNNNNNNNNNNNNNNNNNNNNNNNNNNNNNNNNNNNNNNNNNNNNNNNNNNNNNNNNNNNNNNNNNNNNNNNNNNNNNNNNNNNNNNNNNNNNNNNNNNNNNNNNNNNNNNNNNNNNNNNNNNNNNNNNNNNNNNNNNNNNNNNNNNNNNNNNNNNNNNNNNNNNNNNNNNNNNNNNNNNNNNNNNNNNNNNNNNNNNNNNNNNNNNNNNNNNNNNNNNNNNNNNNNNNNNNNNNNNNNNNNNNNNNNNNNNNNNNNNNNNNNNNNNNNNNNNNNNNNNNNNNNNNNNNNNNNNNNNNNNNNNNNNNNNNNNNNNNNNNNNNNNNNNNNNNNNNNNNNNNNNNNNNNNNNNNNNNNNNNNNNNNNNNNNNNNNNNNNNNNNNNNNNNNNNNNNNNNNNNNNNNNNNNNNNNNNNNNNNNNNNNNNNNNNNNNNNNNNNNNNNNNNNNNNNNNNNNNNNNNNNNNNNNNNNNNNNNNNNNNNNNNNNNNNNNNNNNNNNNNNNNNNNNNNNNNNNNNNNNNNNNNNNNNNNNNNNNNNNNNNNNNNNNNNNNNNNNNNNNNNNNNNNNNNNNNNNNNNNNNNNNNNNNNNNNNNNNNNNNNNNNNNNNNNNNNNNNNNNNNNNNNNNNNNNNNNNNNNNNNNNNNNNNNNNNNNNNNNNNNNNNNNNNNNNNNNNNNNNNNNNNNNNNNNNNNNNNNNNNNNNNNNNNNNNNNNNNNNNNNNNNNNNNNNNNNNNNNNNNNNNNNNNNNNNNNNNNNNNNNNNNNNNNNNNNNNNNNNNNNNNNNNNNNNNNNNNNNNNNNNNNNNNNNNNNNNNNNNNNNNNNNNNNNNNNNNAUCCUGUAGUGUCUCAACCGGGUCGCCAAUCCGACCCACGAGCCUCUGCCGCGAAGCAUCCUAAUUUCUCCCCGGCGACUACAGCUCCACUACGACGACUCUGCAACUCGAAUAGAACCGGGUCUCAAGUCACGGGUUGAUUCACUUAUACCAACCGGUUCCGAUACGAUUUUUAAAAAUAUAAACCGGUUAGAUCUUAAUGAAGCUGUGAUCUGGGAUCUAAUCAAAACCAGUAUCUUUGUCAAUAUUUUUUUCCAAUAGUCUCUUUCACUUUGCCUUGUUUUUUCCAGCUUUGGUGACUGUUUGUUAGCUAUGAUGUGGACCUCUUUUUAUCAAAUUAUUUUUCUAACUAUUAAUUUUAAACUUUUAUAUUAUGAUGCCUUAGGGAAACGUAUUAUCUUGGAUUUAACCAAGGCAAAUUAGUGGCAUGCCUCAACACAUUUCAUUUUUUUUUGCAAGAUAGAGAAAAGUUGAACUUUUCAUACAUCACUUUGGUUUAGAGUAUUUAAAACAUCUUACAUUUUAUUAUAUAACUUUAUAUACUUAAAAGAAUAUGGUUUGCUUCAGAAAAUAGCAAAUGCUUUAAACAGAAAAUUGAUUGCCUAAAGAAUAUAAAGAAAAGGAAGAUUAUUGGUUUUGGUGGAUAAAUACACAUAGAUUCAUGAUUAGGAGUAUCAUUUAUUUUUCCACAAAUCGUUUAUUUGUGUACUAUCACAUACUUUUGCACCAUAAUUAGCCGCACUACUUAAUUUAAAAUGAUUACUCAAUUUCAAGUCAAUUUGAAAGGAAAAAAAAGGGUGGUCUCUAGACAAAAGUUGAGCCAAAGAUAACGAAUAUUAAGCUUUAUAUUGGACCCCAUAAUAGACUGUAAAUUAUUAAAGCAUCAUACCGCCAAAUAUUAAUUUAGGUUUUUUAGGCAAACCAUUAAAUAAAACGAUUCUGGUAACUGAGCCGUAUAUGUAUUUAAUAUGAAAUAAAUAAUCAUAACAUGGCAAGGGAAAAUAAAGUAAAUAACAAUAAACAAAACGUAUUCAUUUAUGGAAGUAAAUAUGAUUAGGCAUUGUUUAAUCAAUAAUCUCAAGACUAAUUAAUAAUGCUCCUUCUCCUUCCUUUAACUUCUUAAUCGAAAAGUGUAAACAUAAUUAGCAUUGGAAAUCUCAAAAGACGAGUCAUUGGCAUUUUGUGUAAUUACGUUAAAGUGGAAAGGGUAAAUAAAUUGUCAUCAACUCAGACAGUUUAUAUAGAACCAAGUCUUCUUCUUCCACCUCAAGAACUCCCGUCCGGCUGCUCUCUGCCGCCGGCAAUACUCUCUCUCUCCGGUGGUCAAAGAAGUUUGAGUAAUGGCGUUGAAUCUUUAGUGGUAAGCGUUAAACCUUGAAAAGAAAGAGAGGGAAGAAAUUGAAAAUGCUGUGCCGGAAAAACUCAAGCGUGGUGGAUAGAGGAAACGUUCCGGUUUAUCUCAAUGUCUACGAUCUAACUCCCAUCAAUGGCUAUGCUUACUGGUUUGGUCUUGGCGUUUACCAUUCUGGUGUUGAAGGUUAGUCUUUUUUUUGGUUCCUGAGUUUUAGAAUCUUUUUUAAACUUCAUCUUUAGAUCUAAAUAAUGCUCUUAAUAUUACAUAGAAUAUCAUUUUAGAUCGAAGUUUCUUGGGAUUUGAAGUUAAUUCGUCGUUUAAAUUCAAAAGAGUUAGGCUUUCAAUUUUCAAGAACUUGACUUUCGAAUUAUCUAAAAAUAUUAUUUGUUUUUUUUUUUUUGGGUAGUUCAUGGUAUAGAGUAUGCAUAUGGAGCUCACGAAUAUCCAAGUACGGGCAUUUUCGAAGGGGAACCGAAGCAAUGCGAAGGGUUUACGUUUAGGAAGUCGAUUUUGAUUGGUAAAACGGAUCUUGGGCCAUUGGAAGUGAGAGCUACGAUGGAGGAGCUUUCGGAGAUUUACAAAGGAAGCUCUUACAACCUCAUCACCAAGAACUGCAACCAUUUCUGCGACGAGAUUUGUAUUAAGUUAACCGGGAAUCCAAUUCCUAGUUGGGUUAACCGUCUUGCAAGAAUCGGUAAACUCUCUGGUAACACUCCCUUCAAAUCUUUACGGUUUAGUUUCUUUCUUACUGAAGACGUCAGUACAGUAGUGGCCUACUUUUAAAGUCUUAGCCUUUGGUUACAAUGUAGACUAAAAUAUGAACUAAGUUUUUGCUUGAAAUGUUCGAUCUUUAUGCUUAAGAUCCAAGUUUAGCUUCUGGGUUUAUUGAUAAAUACGUUUUCUGAUUGAUAAGAAGAGCUUGGAAGCUAAGACAUGACUUUGGGUUAGGCUUAAAGUUUCCAUUUUUAGGGAAAAGGACUCUGUUUUCUGUGCUCUGAAGUUGAAUUGCUCUGUUUUAAAAUGGUAGGAUUCAUGUGCAACUGUGUGCUUCCUGCGACCAUAAACGCGACCAAGCUCGGGAAUAACAGAAUCAACCAAGACAAAUCAUGUGAAGCAGAGACUGAGAAGAAGAAACUGACGGGUGGAUCAAGCAGAGAGAGCUCUACGACGAUUGAUACUCCUUCGUCAUCAUCUUCGUCUCCUUCAGUUCAAGUUCGUGGUCGAAGCAGGAAAAGGCGUCCUCGUGCUAUGCAUCCUUCAUCGCCAGUGAUUCUUGGAUCUUCAACCGUUUGAUUUGCUUUCUUUGUUAAACAAAAUCUUCUCUGUUUUUUUCUUUCACCUAAUUGCGAUUGUGCUUUGUAAUCUUGUUAAUAUGCAAAGAACCCUUAUUUUUCUGUAAUCUUAUUUACACUUUCAGUUUUUGGAUACAAUUUUUACACAAUUAUAUACUCCCUCCGUUUUUUAUUAUAAGUCGUUUUAGAGAAACUUUUUUGUUCCAAAUUAUAUGUCGUUUUCAAUUUUCUAUGUAAAAUUUAUUAAUAAUUAAUGUUAUAUGACCAAUGGUAAUAUAUCUUAUAUUUUUUUAUUGGUUGAAUUGUGGUUAGGUAAAUAAUUAAUGAUGUUUUUGUUUAGAAAAUAUAAGAAAUUAAUGGUUUUCUUAAUCUACGUGUAUAGCUAUAAAACGACUUAUAUUAAAAAACGGAGGGAGUAUUAAACAAAUAAUUUAAUUAGAGGAAUCAUUUGUUUGGUAAUGGAGAAUAUCAUUUAAUUACAAUUAGGAAUAAUAUUUUUGCUGACUUUCUGUUCCAUGGAAAUACAGAAGUGAAGAAGAAGCAUUCUCCAAGUUAUGGUUGUUGUGAAUCAAAACGAGAAGACACUAAAGAUUAGUUACAGAGUUGGAGUAUAUGUUUGAUGAUCACUGCAGGCAGCAAUCAGGAGCACACAACAUAAACAUAGCCACGCAAUAGUUGAAAGACAAAAGAAAGUUGAAAGCAUCCUUUGGUGAACACAUGUUUAUAUACCUAGGGCUGGUCGUUUUAUCUGUUAAAUCUGAUUGUCUUGGAAGCAAAGCAAAUACAAAAAAUUAAUAUCCGUUAAAAACGAAGUAAAUUAUAAAUACUAAAAAAAAAUUCUGUGGAGAAAAGGCAGGCCAUGGAUUGGUGAUCCUGUUGAUGUAGUUCUUGAUGAACCUUUAGGCUGAAUCACCAAGUGUACGAUUAUGUUUUGAAGAUUGAUCAUUAGCUCUUGUCCCAACACAGGUGAUCUAUCACUCACUUUGUCAUCUCAUGAUGAUUUAUGAAUACUUUUGCUAGUAAACUAUAGAGAUGUAGGAGAUAUUUAGGGUUGUAUAAUCUGUUAUGUUUAGCCACCAAUUUCAAGUGACAUCUCCUUUUGUUUCUGUCAUGAUAUUUCAUUUCCAGGCAGUAUUUGCGCACUGGAAAAUUGUUGUUUGGGAUUUGAUCUCAAAUGGUUUUGUUGUCGGAACAAAACAUAUCCAAUGACUAUAAAUAUGCUAUAACUAUAAAUUGUUAUAAAACAUAUGUAAUGGCUUUAUAAAUGACUUCAUAAAUUGUUACAAACAAAAAAAUUUCAGUUUUUCAAAAUCUUGUGGCAGCUUCAAAAGUGUAUGAAAGCUUCCAAAAGGUUUUUAAAUUCUUUACUAGUCUUUCCAAAAUAUGAGAACUUUCAGAAGUUUCCAGCAUUUUCAACAAUGUUUUCUACUCAGCACUACAAACACAUGACGAGCCUAGCAAGUGAGUGCUUUCAGUUUAUUCAGAGUAGGCAUACAACAAGCAGUUACCAUACAGAUUAGCAAAGGAGCUUGGGAGUUAACGACCAAAGAAGGUAAAGAGAAAAACAUAAAAGUGUAUGUGAGCACGCGUGUGAUGGUCAUAUUAUUCUGAGUUUCUGGACUAUUACUACUACUGUACUAUUGAAGUUCUUUCUCAAGUUCAUCGAACUCCCAUCCAUCAACCUCAUCUGCAGAGUAAUCACGACCCACCUUCCCAAAUUCAGAUUCUAGCUCGGCUAGUUCAGAUUCAGGGUUCAAUUCCUGACUGGAACCAGUAGCAGUAGUAGUCGGUGAUGCCUCGGUAGGAUUUCUCACCUCUGGCUUUUGGGUCAGAGACUUAACUGGAGCAUCCAUGCUACUACUGCUGGGCAUAAGAGAUUUGGGUGAUGCAGCAGCACUGCUUUUAGGUGAUGGAGUUUCUAUCUCUAAUAUUGGCCUUGCAAUGGAUUCAAACUCCUGCCUCAUUUUCUCCAUGUCAUCAAAGAGCUCUUUCACACGCCGGUCUUCCUUCCUGGUAUAAUUAUACGAGUUCAGAAACUUGGCGAUAAUAAAAUUCUACCGAUCAAUAAAGAGUCAAGAGAGUAAUGUUUACUACUCACUUUUCCAGUUUGCUUUGGAGGACUUGGAAAUGCUCUUUCAUGUUAUCCACAAUGCUGAAAGUGGUAAUGAUCUGAUUUUAUACAAAACCAGAUUAGUCACUAGGAAGAGCAAUGAAAAAAAUCAAUAGUGCAAAUCUUACCUUAGUCUCAUAGUCUAGAUACUCCUGCUCUAGACUCUUCCUUGGGCUUGAAACCUGAUUCUCCCCCUCAUCUGCAUUUGGUGGCAUCUCUGACCUGUCACCACCAUAUGCAAAAACUGUAUGUAUUAAGCCAGAAACGAAGCAAUCUAAUUCAACAAGAGGCAUUUACCCAGGACCAAGAUUCUUCAGGUUUUCCACAUAAUUCUCUAUACGGCUUAUCAAAGGUGCCACCUCCUUCUGUUACAAUAUAAAGUUCUGUGUUAGCUCUGUCAUUUACCAACUACUAGUUAAAAUUUCCAUAAACACAAAGAGCUUACCUUGUACGUAGAGAGUAUAUUAAAAGCCACAUCGGAAAAGUAAUCCUCAUGCUUCUCCAACUCAUCCCUACGACAUGCAUCCACUAUUAUUAUCCCUUGUGGUUAAGCAGCAGAGAAAAAAAUAUAUAGCGAGAAAGAGCUGAGAGUUUGAUAGAAAUACAAAGUCUGCUUAUCCUUCUUUUCGGUAUAAGAGCAUUGAUGAAGCCAUGUAUCCUCGAGGAAACUAAUCCAGGUCUUGAUAACUUCUGACUCUUUCUUACAAGCUACAAUUGAUUUGGACAGGUCAUCCUCCUGCAUGCAGAAUCAAAUUAUUUCAUGCGGAAAUUAUUUGACCACGAGAGCUACUCAUCUUAGAGGAAAAUGCCAACCUUUGUUUUCAGGUGAGCGAUUAUCUGAUCGUUGGCUUCACCAAAUUGAUCCCUCUCUUCUGUCGCAUCACGGAACCGAGCUUGAGCAGCAGCUAAUGAUAUAUUGACCUAUAUGGAAAGAAUAUUCAUUUUCAUACCUUCCAUACCACAAUAAACAUAUGCUCAAAUCAAAUAGAAGUGCUUUACAUACCCUCUUCAGUUCAGCUUCCAACUCAUCUCUUUGUUUCACAAGCUGUGCAAUUUCCUCAGCCAAUUCCUGUACAUAAUAAAUAAUAAGAAAGAAUCUCAAUACUUACAGCUGAUGAACAUACAGAAGAAUGCUGUUUUAUCUUGAAUUGAAUAACCAAAAGAACAAAUAAAAGAGGGGGAGACAGAACCUUUUCCUUUUCACCAGUUUCAUUUGCUUUCACCACACGAGCUUUAAGCGCCUCUUCUUUCUGAAGCCUGCGAAGAGACAAUUGGUAUCUAUUAAUGGCGUUUUCCUUCAAGGCAAGCUUUGAUGAAAAUCAAAAUUAAUUAAACAACAGCAAGUAAGUCUUAACUGCAGAUAUGAAGAUAAGCUUUUACCUGUUCUCUGAUAUUCGUUUCUCGGCUUUGGUAGUUGAAUUUGCUAAAGAUUCCAAUAACACCUUCAGCUUGUCGACCUUGUUCAAAGACAAAUUAUUCAUUAUCUUCCAUGCUUAUCAUUCUCUCUAACAUCUAGACUAGAAGUCAUGAGUGGGGCAAGAUGAUAAUUAACAAUACUAAUCAACUUGUAUAGAGAUAAUGAUUUGAGGAUAAUAAAGCCCACAAACUUACUUUCUGAGCAUGUAUAUCUGGUGAAUCACCGUUGCUUAGUUGUCUCUUUCUAAUUAGAAGCCCUUCUAUUCUGGAGCAAAGACGAAUCUUUGCAAGCGUUUGUUUAAGAGCCUGCAAAACAAGAAGUCUUAUCACAUGGAGCUACCUAAACGAUCUUAGGGGGAGAAAAUUGUACACUCACCUCUAUUGUUAAAGGAGCCUCUUUAACUUCCUUGUCUUCACUCUCCUGUGGAGUCUCAAAAACUUUCAUCUUUUCGAGUUUUUCUCUAAGAUCGGAAGCUUCAUCAUCAAUCCUGAAAAGAAGUAUUCAAUCAACAGUGAUGAACGAUGAGUAAGGCUCUAAACGAGAGCAAGAAGAACAUUAACAUCUUCAUUUAUCACCUCAGUAUUUCAGCACUAAUCUUCAACCCAGUGAUAGCAUUUUGGGCGAACUGAAGCAAUUCGUCCUGCUUGACCUGAACAUUGAAGAGUAAACAAGUUAGGAGGAGAUCCAAACGCAUAAAUGCUGAAUUUUAUUGCUCAAGCGCGUACCAAAACUUCAUCCUUGUAACUUGAAAAGACUGUAGAAAGAUCCUGCAUACUGCUGACAAUGGCAUCAUGAACUUCCUUUCCUCCAUUUAGACAAAUCCUGAGAACAAUGUUAUGAACGAAGUGUGUCAAUUUUCCAAAGAAAAAAAAAAAGGAAGUUUAGACUUUCUUUUAAAGCGAAAUUUUCGCAAAGCAAUUUGGUGGUUCAGCUCACCCAAACAUCUCCCGGAGUAGAGAAACUUCUUCAUCAUGUGGUGGUUCAAUAAUCUGUAAUAGAACAGUCAAACAUAGAGUUAACACUCAUAGACAGUACCAUUUUUUUCACAUAGCCCAAAAAAUAUAGGAACAAUACAAUAUUCAAAAGAUUAUGAGAAACAAGACAAAAUACAAGCUCUCACAACAUAAUAAGAGUCUACUUAAUCUGGUUUGUUCUUUAAUUUAUUUUAAGCCAAGAAAUAUAUUGUCUUCACUCUUUAACACUAAGAAAUCAAAUCAACAAUAAUGCAUCUCAAGCCUUUUGGUGGCGUUCCAAACUCUUGGAAACUUUAGAGAAUGGGGAUCGUUUGUUAUCAUCACUUAUAUCAGGUAGCCACCAAAAGUAAGUUUGGGUAGCGAAAGAAAUACCAUGGACAGGACGAUGCCCUCCAGAGCUUGACUUUGCAGGAAAACAUCGCGGAAGUUUAGUGGCUCACCUCCUAUAUCUGGAUCGUAAUACAAAACCUACACAUGGAAAGGGAUCUUCUGUUGGAAAAAGAGUCACAAAUACAGCAUAUAAAACUAAAGUCACUUAUAAUCGAACCCUUUAAUGAAAUAAAUCACCAUAAAUCACUAAAAAUAACAAUCAUAGUUAGAUGAUAUAUGAUGACAUCUUCGUUUCAAAGUUUGUCUUUUCCACUUAAUACCAAAAAGGGGAACAAAAAGAAUACCCAUUCACGCCUCUUUGCUUCAUCAGAAUCAAGUCGUUCCUCAGAACUCAUAUCUUUAUCCUUGACAGAGGUUCCACUAGCUCUAUCAAUCUCCUUAAGGACAGUUAGCCAUCUGGUGAUCAGCAAUGCCCUUUCAUGACCUCUGCAUGAGACUGCAGCUUCUUCCAGUCUCUGAAUCGUCUGAUUCACACUCUUAUAGGCCCCAACACCCUGCAAAUGAAAGAUAGAACAUUUAUAGAGCACAGUGUUCAAAUGAGUGCACUAUCACAGCAAAAUCAAAACUUGAAUCCAGAAAAGAAUAGAACUUUGCAAAGGGAAAUGAAUUUAAAAAAAGAAAAGGAAAGUGGAGAAAUUUUACAAUGCGGUCUUGGAACAAUUUGGCUCCUUCAGCAACGGCUUGACCAGCCUGCUGGACAACGGAGUCGGCAUAGUUCUUGACCUCCACCGCCUUACUCACAGCCGUUCGCAGCCACGACAUGUUUCUCGUCUAUCUUACUGGUUUACUACGGAAAGCAAUCUUCUUCUGGAGGAAGCUCGGACACAGUCAAUGUUUUUACUCGGUGGCGAUUGCUUGUAUUUUGCAAACCCACGACUAUAAACUAUUCAUUCUUUUUCUUAGAGGUGACCAUUUCGGUUUAAAUCGGUUUAGUUUGUCUAGGUCAAUCAAACUUUAAUUGAUUCUUUGGUUUGGUUUGGUUUGUAUCUAAUUUAGUUUGGUUUGAAUUUCAUUUAGUUUGUGUUGGAAUCGAUUUGAUUUGAUUUUGUUUGUGUUUGUUCAGUUCUAUUAAAUUAGUUUUUAAAAAUUUAUAAUUUAGUUAUGAAAUAUAAUUUGUAAAACAUAAAACAAAUUUUAUUCGACACUAUUUUUUUUUACAUUUAAAUAUAAAGUCAACCAUAAUGAUAAAAGUUUUAAAAAUAUAUCUAAUAAUCUAUACUAUUAUUUGCGAAGUAAAUUUUAGCAACAGAGCUUCCACAUUAAAAGUUAGAGUGGUUAAUAUCGACUAUACCCUUAAUAAAUUAAAUAUAUAAAUUAAUAAAAAAUAAAAACGAAUUUGCUUUUUUAAUAAUAUAAGUGAUUAAAACUAAUAAUAAUAAGAAUUAUCUAAAAUCUAAAAAUAUAUAUUUAUUAUAAAAAGAUAAUUCCUAUAUAUAUUAUAACAAGAUAAUUCUUAUUAUAUUGUGUUGUUAUCUUAUAUAUUGUAUUGUUAUCUUUAAAUAAUAUUUUUUAACUAUAAAAAUUGAAAUUUAAGAUAUGAAAUUAUUUAUAAUUAAAUAUUAAUCAAAAAACAUAUGUAUAAAUAAAAAAAUGAUCAUAUAUAAAUAAGUUGAUGUUUGAUUUCUAUGUUUGAUGUUUAAUAAAAUAUAAACUAAUAAAUGUUCACAAAAGGAUAGGUCCGCAUGUGCGGGCAAAACACCUAGUUUUAUAUUAUUUUCGAACCUAAUAAAAAUAUCAUAAAUAGUUUUUAGUUUCUAUGAUAGUGUAUAAAAUUCAUAUAUUUUAUUUUAUUAUUAGCUAUGUUUCUUCUAUUUACUUAAUGUAUAAAAUUAUAUUUAAUUAUUUAGAUUUCAUAAUUUUAAAUUUUAAUAUUAUUAGUUAGUUGAUCUAAUGAAAUAAACAAUUUGAUUUUUCGUUCCGGUUUGGUUUCGUUUAUAACAAAAUCAUCUGGAUUACUAAAAUCUUUAGCCAAAUGGAUUUAGUUUGGAUUCGGCUGGUAUGGUUUGGUUUCAGGCCUAACUACUUUUGCUCUGAGACUUGGGUCGGAUCUCGGAUAUCCAAAUACUAAACAGAGACUCGGGUCGAAUCUCGGAUAGUAAAUCCACCCUAAUCUGCACUUCAGCAGCAGCAGCAACUCCAUUGAGCAAGAUAAAGGCCAAAUCAGAUUAAAAGGCCCCACCUUUACACACCCAAUCACUCCCCUCAGAUUCUCCAUAGCGAUCAGAUUAGAUUCAAUACAAUACGACGGCGAGGGAAAACGAAAAGCUUAAUAGAGGCGACAGCUGUAUAUAUAUAGAGAGAGAUAACACAGCACAGCAGUAAUUAGGGUUUUGAUUUAGGCGAGAAGCCAUGUCAGGUCUCCACAGAUCAUCAAGCUCAUCGAAGAACAUCGGAAAGUCCCUCCCUUCCAAGGAGCUUCUCGACGAUCUUUGCAGGUAUCGAAAAAUGUUUCCUUUAGUAGCGAAAGUGAACUCUGAUUGGAUUUGAUUGGACUCUCUCUCUCUCUCUUUUCCAGUCGAUUCGUUUUGAACGUUCCUGAAGAAGACCAACAGUCCUUCGAGAGGAUUCUCUUUCUGGUGGAGUACGCUUAUUGGUACUACGAAGAUAACGCUGUGGAGAAUGACCCGACGUUAAAGUCUCUGUCUUUGAAGGAGUUUACUUCACUCUGUAUCCUUUUCUCUAAGUGUUUGACCUUUAGCAUUGUUUUGUGUGGAGAUCUGUUUUCCUUGACGUGCUGCCACUAGUGUUCAACAGCUGUGAUGUUUUGAGACCUUACGUGUCUAACGUUGAUGAUAUCUUCAAAGACUUUACCUCUUACAAGUGUAGAGUUCCGGUUACUGGAGCUAUUAUUCUUGAUGAAACAUAUGAACGGGUUAGUUUCUUGUGAUGUUUUCUUGUUGGCGUUAAGUUUUACUUGUUUGUUUGUGCUUACGGUUUUUCUCUUUUGUGGGAGUUUUUAGUGUUUGUUGGUGAAGGGGUGGAAAGGGUCUAGCUGGAGCUUUCCCCGUGGGAAGAAGAGUAAGGAUGAAGAAGACUAUGCGUGUGCUAUUCGUGAGGUUUGUGUUGACUAUGUUGCUUUCCUGCUGCCUCUUACGUUGUUCAUUUGUUUCGUUUCUUUGUAACAAACUUGAUAGCUCCAGCACCCACUCGUUUAUCAUUACUGCAUAUUGUAAAUUAAUUCUAUGUAAUUAGAAUUAGAUCGUCUGUUGGGUAAGAUCGAAUUCUGUAGUCAUUGUAUCUUAUGAGUUGGGCUGUAUCAUACUAACCUCUUGUAGUUGGUGUACUUCAUUGGCUGUUGACAUUUGCAGAUGUGUCAACAGUAUGUGCGCAUGGUUUUGUACUUUUGUUUAAUGUAUAGAUGAUGGAGGUGAAAGAAUAGAAGAGAGAAUAUCUCUCGUAUCUUCCGUAUUGGUUCAGGAUAUCUCAUUUUCAUACUAACAUAACCGUUUGAUCAUGGCAAAUGCUGUUUAGAAAGUGAUCUUCGUAUUUGAGAAUAUAGUUGAGCAAGGAAAUGUUCAUCUUAGAUCAUCAUUAUUCAGGAUCUUUUGCAAAUGAGAAUAGUUGCUGCUGUCAACGGUCAACUAUAGAGGCUAUCUAAUUCUUUUUACAACUUUUUCGUAUAGAAAUGGUCAAAGCGCAAAAGGUUUACUUGUAGCUCUCCCUACUGCUAUUCUACUUGCUGGAGUUUAGGUGUAAUUGUCCUGCUGAUUGUUUGUAUAAACUUGGAUUAUGGGUUAUUGAUGAAAAAGCUUAACGUGUUGUGACAUUUGGCUUGGCUAUGCUAUUUAACUGUUUUUCUGUGCUAAACACAGGUUUUAGAGGAAACUGGAUUUGAUGUCUCAAAGCUACUCAAGAAAGAAGAAUAUAUUGAGUUUACAUUCAGACAGCAAAGAGUGAGACUUUACAUAGUUGCUGGGGUGACAGAUGAUACAGCUUUUGCACCACAAACAAAGAAGGAAAUCAGUGUAUGUAUUUAACAACCAACCUUGUGGGUGUGGUCUUAUCUGCGUAUCUAUGAUGGGUGAGUCUCUUACGCGCAGCUGUUAUGGAAUACUUGUAGGAAAUUGCGUGGCAUCGGCUCGAUCAUCUUCAGCCAGCAAGUAAUGAGGUGAUAACUCAUGGAGUUGCUGGUCUCAAGUUGUAUAUGGUGGCACCUUUUCUUGGGUGAGUAGUGCCUUUUUAUUUUGUCCACAUAGAUUCUUGGGUGAUUUCUAGUAUUGGUGCGUGGCAUUAGAGAUUACAAACAUAUGCAGGUCGUUGAAGUCUUGGAUAUCGAAGCAUCCUGCUCCUGUAAAACGGAGAUCUGAUAAGCCCCUUAGAGGUUUGACAUAGUCCUUUUUGCACCAACCAUGCAUAAAAGAGAGUUUUUUGUAUGGCAGAGAUCUGACAUCAUAGGCUUUGUACAGCACUCAGCGUGUGGAAUGCAAGGACUAGUAGUACUGGAGGAAACGGAACAACAACGACGACGACAACGGAAAGCUACAAUAAGAAGCAGCCCCAACUAAUAGAGCGUCCUAAGGAUACAGAACCUGGAAACAGUCUCAGAAGCUUCAAGUUCAACACGUCAGCAAUCUUGGAAUCAGGAUUUUCAGCUUGACUAGUCUCUCGGACAUAUAAGGGUGGUCGGUAUUGGGAGCUAUGAUGCGGUUGGAUAUGUUCAUAUGCUUGUACUUUUUCUUUUUCUUCGGUAUCUUCUUUAUGCCUGUCGUUUCUUUUGGAAAGAAAGGGUUGUUGUACAUGAUGAUGGUCCGUGGGGGAAGUGGUGAAUCCUUUGGAUGAUGGCUUUAGAUGACAAUGGUUGCGACCAGCUACAAUUAAAGGACUUCUUUAUCCAAUGUAGAGAAUUAUUAUGAUUUAACGCUGAUUUAUUAUGAUUUUACAAUUAUGAUAUAGGAAAUAUUACAUAGACGAUUCGACAACCGACAAUACUACCAAUAAACCGUUCUCUCCGGGAUUUGAAACCUGGAUUUCCUGUAAUCUGCAAUAAAUUGCAUAGUCUGGAAUUUGAACCCCAGACCUGGGUGUAGAAGCUUUUAAAACUUAACUAAUAGGCUACGGUGCUUCUACAAAUCCAAAUAGUUUUAAAUCAUGUUAAUCAGACUUACGUAUCCUAAUGAUAUUGUAAAAUAUAUGUUUUUGAAAGUGUUCCAUCUUUCCACAUUGUAAGUUAAAGAUCUUAACUUAAGGUUGUUACAGAUCUUAGUAAAUGGAAUUGCUUGUGGGUCACGGUCGCUUGGGGCUUCUUCUUUAGAAUCUUGUUCUACUUUUCUUUGCUUUUUGGGUAGUAAGAACAAAGAGAGGUACAAAAAAACUCAGUUUGAUCCCAGGAGAACUGUUUUGAAACUUUGGCUUGCUUUUGUUUGUAUCCUGUAUUUUUCUUCUAAUUCUUUGUUGCAUAACUUUAAUUAUUCUGUCUAAAGUUGUUGAAAAGGAGGUCAACUACUUGGCUAUAUACAUACUUGAAUUAUAUAUAUCAUACACAUUCCACAACAUUAUAACCUGUUGCUUUGAGUAGAUCCAUUAAGGAUCAGAUUACAUGUACGCUGACAGAUAUGUUAACCUUGUCAAGAUUAAGACGUGGUCUCUCAUCACUCUUAAUACACCAUCCUCUAAAAACUUCAAUCUCUUGUCUCAGAAACAAGAAGUAAAUACAAACUCAGACACGUUUCCAAAUCAGAAUGCUGGACUCUCUCCUAGUUCCCAAAACUUUAUGCCCUCAUUAACAGCAUAUACAGAUUAUACCAUGCUAAAGUUCCAUGGCAUGACUCAUCCAGAUGCCUAGGCUGGAGAAAGCAUAAGCGUCAAUCAGAAAUAUUCCUUUCCUUGAGUGAGAUUGUACAUUCGAAGUUAGAACUCACUUAAAUGAGAAAAAUGAGGAACCAUUACCAAACCAGUAGACCCAAAUGGCUGGUACACCUUUAGCAGUUUCCAGUGUGUGUUUUUUUUUUUCAUGGCCAGUAAACCCAGUUCUACCAGCAUAUAAUCAGCGGUUGUUUCAACAUUUCAAGCAGGCUUGGUUUAGCUUAUACUUCAAGUUCCACAAAGAUGUGUACUUACUAAUCCUCUUGGCUGUCCUACAGCUAAACUGAUGAAGUUAUCUUUAGAAGAAUUCAUUAUCUGGUCACUGGCAGAUGAAAGUGAAUGUUUUAAGCCAAAAACAGUCAUGGCUCAACCACAUCGUGGCGGUUACUUAGAGUUUUGCACUCUGGUGCUUUGGCAAAGAGACUCAUUCAUCAAAACCUGUUUUUUUCGUCGGUAAAGUUUUGUUGGGCUCAAAGCCUGGCCUGUAUUUCGACAAGAGGUAAGCGUCUCACCCUAGUCGUUCCUCGCCUCAUAUCUAUUAUAUCAGUCACGUUCUACUUCUGCUUAAACCACCUGAGUGCGAGCAAGCCUGAAAAAUAUCCACAUAUAUUUACACAGCACCAUCUUCCUUUACUUGUUUAUCCAUUCACUUACAGUGCUACGGCCAAAUCUGAAUCACAUCACGAAAGGCGACUAAAUCUAGAUGACACCGCCAGCGAAGUGCUGUAUUUACACAGCCAAGCAAUGACCAAUUCGCAACUUUAACACAACACAGGACAUAGCAGAGUGUCCCUUGAAUGCCCACUGUUAUCAGCCUCGUCCGUGGCAAAAUCACAGAGCUCUCUCGUUUGGUAUCUGGUUUCUAUCACUCAAAUCUCCCUGGUCUCAGAACGUUCACGCAAACUGAAUACUAAUCCUUCUUCUAAAACCCGUCACCGCCAAGCUCACCCCGUUGCCAAAUCUCACUGUACUUUGAAGUUUCCUCCUCUUCCAUAAUCUUACUUCUUCCAGAUGCAUUCUCAGUUGAUGUCUUAUCUUUUCCAUCUACCCCUUGUUCUUUAACCAUCUCAAUACCAGGGUCCUGUCCAUACCUCACAUCAUCAGAACCAUCCUCUACAUUAGUAGGUCCACAACCAUCACUGCUAUAGGAUUGUCUAAAAGAGCUCAUACCAUCAUGUCUAUAACCAAAUUGUCUUCUCUCAACAUUACCAUCACCACCAAAUCGCUGAGAAUGAAUCGGUCCUUCAAAGAAAUCAUCACUGUAGUCCACCCUCUCUCGAGGAUCCACGUUGUUAUAGUUUCUAUGUACAACACGAUCAUAUGGUUUCCUAAAAAAGGUUCCAUCUCUUCCAUAACCUCUCCCCCUUGCAUACCCUCUCCCUCUGGCAAAACCUCGUCCCCUUCCAGCAUUUGAUGGUCUAUGAGAGUAAGGCGGAGGAGAAUCAUGCCUUCUGCCAACCAUCUCCCUUGGAUAACCAGAAUGUUCAGGAGAGCUUACCCUCCCCAUUCUAUAACCUGAGGGUGAUCUCCUAUGAGAAAACUCUGUAUGCCCAUUAAAAUCUUCCUGUGAUCUGUUCCUGAAAGACGAGGACGGUCCAGCUGAUCGUUCUCUUGAUCUAAUUGGAGAUCUUGAACGAUAUCCAGGAAAAUCUCGUUUGUGGUUGUUUGAAAAAGUUGUUCUUCCUCUAGCAAAACUAUUCCGACCUUGAUACGGACGUGGCUGGCUCAUAAACAUUGGCUCCGUGUCGUUGGACUGUCCUCCUCUAGUAAACUUUUCACAAUCUCUAAACCCGUGAAACGCAGAUGCAUCCUCUUUAAAGCCAUGACUUCUUCUCGUGAAGGAGUGGGGGAAAGGAGUGGCUUCAUCAUUUGCAGACCGUCUGCCUCUAUAGGAAUUACUCAUAAAACCACCACCACCACGACGAGUGUUUCCAUAGUCGUUGGACUCAAAAUCUGUAUCCACGAGAUGAGAAAGUUUAGAAACAUUGAAGCUUACAUUACUAAACAAAAAAGUUUAGAAGAUAUGAGUUUACUUUUUGUAUCCCUGUCCUGCAAAUUGCUUUCUGUAUUAUCAGAAAAUCUCCUUCUGUCAGGCAUGAAAUUUAGCCUUGGGCUUCUCAUAGUUUUGCCAUGGUACCUCUCACGCGAGAAUUUGUAGGAAUCAUCAUCACUAGCCAAAGAAACAAUAAUGGAAAAAUUUCAAGGAAAGCCAAAGAGAUCUCAAAAGGGAUGAUAACAAGGUUCAGAAGAAAAAAAAUCACACCUCCCUCUCGAGAGAUAUUUCCUCUGUUCAAGUGAGAAAUCAGACAACCUCUCUCUUUCCAUUCGCAAUGGCACAAAGCUGUCUGAAGCAUCUAGUGUCUUGAACCGACUCUGACUACCUUCACUAGACUCCGCAGGAGGAGGAUCAUUGUCAAUAGUGGACAUUUCUGCUUUGUAUGAAGCUGGACUGAUGUUAUCUACUGUUUCAGGGUUAUCAACCUUCCCACCUGACAAUGUAGACACACCUGAUUCAUCAAAUAUUCAACUGUGAGUUUCUGGUUUAAGCCUCUUAAUCUGAACUUCAGUGCUUGCCAUUUUUGAUUUAUUUCAAGCAUGAUUCAUCAACAGUAUGUAUAUCUCUUUAAUAUUAUUAUUACCUGUAUUACUAAGAAGUGCAGCUUGACUCUCUUUUUCAUCCCUUUGUUCCGUUUCAGAACCACCACACUCAGCAUGUCUAUUACCUUCUGCAAACAUGGCAGGUGAUCUUUGGACCUUCUCGUCGUCAUACAAAUUUCUUUUCUCCACUUGCUUCUUUAGUACUCUAGUUAGGUCAUUACCACACUCUGGUUCAAACUCAUAACUGUACAACUUUUCCCUUAGCUCCUUACCGGAUAAAAUAACCUUUUCUUCACCACUUGUAGAAAGUUCAUUAGCUCCAGGAGAGGUUUUGCAAUCAUCUAGAGUUUUAUCUUCAGUCACGGAAACAUUCACAUCUGAUGCAUUGAGGUUCUCUUCUCCAUGACCAGAACGUGCAUUAGCCAUGUGAACUACACCGAGAUCAGAACUCUGGCCUGGACUUCUUGUCAUUCCAUUCAUGGACAUUGGCGCAUUGCUGACACCACUGGGAUGAGGUAUAUAUGUAUCCUUCUGAUUUGGCGCAAAACUUGCAAGUAUAUCAAGGAUCUCAUUUGAUUGCAUCAUUGGUCUAUGGGGAAGAUUCAACGUUCCAUCUUUCCUAUUGAAAACUUUGGACUGAAUGAAGUUAUUUGGCUCAGCCUUUAUUGAUCUAGAAUCCACUGGAUUCAAACUGCCAACGACCUCCUCUUUCAUCCUGUUAAUUGGAGAAGCUUGAGCACUCUCUUCAACGACUUCUGACUUCACAGUCCUAAGAUUUACAGAGUUCACAUUAUCAGCAGCCAUUAUUGGUCUAGAAACACUUGUGCAGGCAACUCUUGCCUCCGAUGUGGUGGCUGAUAGAGAAGGAGACUUCUCAAUAGGAGGAUAUGACCUGAGGCCUAGACUUAGCGAACAUGUGGGAACAACCUGACGAUCAAACUGCGUCGAAGUCACUGUAGGAGAUUUAAAUUCUAAACUUUCCUUCAGUUUUUCAGAAACUGGCUUUGCAAUAACAGUCGUAUCACCACAACUUGAUGUCUCUAUGUCAGGGCAACUACUGUCAAAGAAAGAACCAGUUGUCUUAACUCUAGUCUUGCGAUCUAGACCAUCUUCCCAAGCAUCCAUGGUAGUAUUCAAAUCCCAAUUUGAUCUGUUCACACCACUGAGAUUGCCAGAACUAGUACAAGUAGGAAUAGAAUCUGUGACAUGAGGUGCUGAAGGUUUACAACUUAGCAGCCCAGCAGAUGCUUCUGUUUGACACUCUCCCUUACUAACAAUGUCAUGGGUCUUAAGAACAGUUUGUUCUACAUUCAACUUAGAACUGAAAGGGACCACAGAGCCUGCCAAGGGACUGGAGUGAAUUGGUGGAAUAUUAGGCUCUUCAGCUUUCACUCUAGUUUGGUCAACAACUAGGCUCCCAAUACUCUCCGUUUUAUCAGCAACUUUUCCCACAGAAACAGACGGAACCGAAGGGAUUAUAUUUCCAAUCAAUGUCUGAUGUACAUGCGCAUCAGAUGAAUUCAAAUCCAAAGCACUCCUAGUAUCACCACCUUGCUCAUUAAGUUGUGUAUUUUUUUCCAAAGAUGAUUCCUCCGGUAACACAAAGUACUUCCUCUUCUUGAUUGGUAUAGCAGCAUUGAAAUCUCUGCACCGCCAUGUAGGCAUGCUGAUCUGAGGCUGAUGGAUACCAACCAGACACACACACAGACAGUAAAAAAGACAGUUUCUAAAAAUAGUGAAUGCACUAAAACUAAGAGUUUAAUUAAAACACCUGUUGGUUUCCAGACAUAACUCGAAAUAAAUAUCCUUAACUCCAAGCUUGUACCUUUUUUCAGACAAAACACCUACAGAUCAAUCUCAGUUAGGUCUGUCUGCAAAAAAUAAAAAAAGUCAAAAUAUAUUUUUUCAGAUCGAAUAAAAACAUAAAAACUAACAGAGAAUCUAGACACGUCAUUAGAACAGAAGAACAACAAUCAACUAAACUUGAAGAGAAUCAAUGAUUAAUAAAAUUACAGAAACAGAAUCACAAAGCACUAAACAAGAUCGAAGACUCUUUUUUUUUUAAUUUUAAGAUGAAAGGUACAACCACUGACCAGAGAAGAAGACUAAUCAAAGACUUUGAGACUAAGCAAAUCCACCGACAAGAAGAGAAGAAAAAAACAAGUAGAAUUCUAGAUUUAGGGAAGAAAGAGAAGAAGAAGAAUCUACCGAAGAAGAAAAGAAGAGUGGUGGAGAGGUCUGAGUAGAGGCAGUUUACAGGAAAGUUUACAGUUAUUGGCUAAAUGAAAGAGAAAAGAUACGAGAGGAGGAGGAGGAGAGAUGCCAAACUUUGACAAGGGCCACACAAAGCCUCUCCAUCUUUGCCUCUUUAUAUCAUUCAUUGUUUGACCGACUCCUAUUAAAUAUUUUCAUUCUAUAAAUAUUUCGAUAUUUCCUUAAAAAAAGAUAAUUUACCAUUUUCGAUCAAGUCUAUUUAAUUGAUAAAUCGUAACUAAAGAGUGGGCGUUCAGAUAUCCAUCCGGAUUUGGAUCUAUUCGGGUUUCGAGUUUUUUGGAUCAAAGACUUUAACUCCAUUUGAGUUUUUUAAAAUUUCAGUUGAGCUCGAUUCAAAUCUUUGCAGGUUCGGAUAAUCUAAUUAAAUUAUUUUAAAAUAUUUAAAAUUCAAUAUAUACUUUAACAUUUUCAAAAUCUAUAAACAAAAUAAUAUAUUACAUAUAAAUUUUAAUAACUUAUGUAAAAGUAUCUAAACUUAACAUAUAAAUUGGUUUGGUUUAACUAUUUAAUAUUUUUUCUCAUCAGAGAAUCAAUAGAUAUUUCAAAUAUUUUUGGCGUUUUGAGUAUAUUUUAGAUAUUUGCUUUUAACUAUUUGUGUAUAUUUUCAAGUAUUUUGGAUAAUUUAAAAGUGUUUUAUAUAUUUUGGAUGUUUUUAAUAUCCGUUAAAUCUAAAAAUAAUUAAUAUAUUUAGGUAUAUAAAUUUAUUUCAAAUACAUUCGAACAUCCGGGAUACUUCGGAUCGAAUUUGGUUUUAGUUUUCUAAAUAUUAAAAUUUUGAACUCGUUCGAAUAUUUAAUCAAAUCGGUUCAGAUUCGACACUACUUUUUGGAGCAGAUUCGGGUUUUUUUUUAUUCGGAUUUUUGUCCAACCCUAAUCGUAAUCAUAAUAUAGCUCCCUACUCAACUAAUGAUAAGACUAAAAAAUUGUCGGUGACAUGUUCUAUGCAUACUGAAUUCAAAUAUUUUAAAACAGUGAUUAUACGAACCACCAUUAAGCUGCAUAUUAUUCCGGAAUUUUAAAUUUUAAAUGUAGUAUUAAAGGGGUUUUGAAAAAUUUAAGCACUGUAAUCAGCAUUAAGGGCCCGGGUAGCCAGAGUAACUAGGGCGGUUUGCACAUGCAUUUGCUAUGUGUUUCUAUAAUGGGCCUUAUCAGUUGGUCUAGUAAUGGGCCGUUUUUGACUAAUAUUUGCUGUUGAAGAGAGCAACUAUUAGUUGUUGACCAGUCAAAUAUCUUCCACAUUUAUUACUGUGGAAAAUUAAAAUAUUCAUGCAAAGAUAACAGAGUACAGAAAAUAAAGGGAAACUUGUAAAACAGACAAUACAAGUGGACAAAAGCUUCGUCUGUGUCCAUCUCUCCACAAGACUCGGUCUCAUAUUUACAAUAAUCAGAAAGUGUUGAUGAAUAAUCAUUUUGCAACUGUUUUGGAGUUGUUGAAGAACCAAAGAGUGAAGUGAAAAAAAAAAAGAGAGAUAGAAGAUGGCUAGCUUUAAAGUGGGUUCCAAAUCUGAAGUCUUUCAUCUAAGUGGUCACACGUGGUCAGUCCUCUUCUUCAAUGGGGUUUAAUCAUCAAACAUAAUUCUUCAGUGGGGUAAUCAUCAAACAUAUAUAAUCUUACAUAUCUCUUCUUCUUAAUCUGUGAUUUAGGCUUUGCUCAACUGGUCUUAAACCUGAUGUGAUGAUCCAAGUACAAGACCAAACCUUCCAUCUGCAUAAGGUAUAGUAAACCAAACCUAGUAACAUUGACUCACUCAUACUAUGUCUCAUGUGUUUUCUUCAUCGCCAAGUUUCCGUUGUUGUCAAGAAGUGGAUACCUAGAAACUCUCUUCAGCAAAGCCUCUGAGUCAACUUGUGUUGCCCAGCUUCAUGACAUUCCCGGUGGACCAGACACGUUCUUGCUCGUGGCCAAGUUCUGUUACGGUGCAAGAAUUGAGAUCACAACUGAAAACGUUGUGAGUCUCAGAUGUGCAGCUGAGUAUCUCCAAAUGAGUGAAACCUAUGGAGAUGCUAAUCUCAUCUCUCUCACCGAGAGUUACCUCAACGAUAAUGUUUUCACAAACUGGGAUGAUUCAAUCAAAGCCUUGGAGAGUUGUGAACACAAACUAAUACCUCUAGCUGAAGAACUUCACAUUGUCACUAGGUGCAUUGCUUCUUUAGCCAACAAGGCUUCUUAUGCAGAGGAUACUAUUACAUCUUGGAACGGUAUACAAACUAAGUCCACGAGCAGUAACUGGUGGCUCAGCGAUGUGUCUUCAUCCCUUGAUAUCUCAAUGUACAAAAGAUUCAUCAAAACUAUUGAAUCUAGAGGCGUGAAAGCUGAUACAUUAGCAGCAUCUGUCACGCAUUACGCUAAACGUAACCUUCCUUUACUUGGUAGUUCUAGGCACUGUGGUUCUUCAUCUUCAGAGGAAGGUACUAAUCAUGGUAAUGAUGGAAGUUACUACUCUGAUGAAGAUCAAAGAAGUCUCCUAGAAGAAAUAGUGGAGCUACUACCGAGCCAAAAGUGUGUUACAUCGACAAGAUUCUUGCUCAGGCUUCUUAGAACAUCCAUGGUUCUGCAUGCAAGUGAGGUCAUUCAGGAGAAUCUUGAGAGAAAAAUUGGUGUGCAGCUAGACGAAGCUGCUCUAGAGGAUCUGCUUAUACCAAACAUGGGAAACUCAGCUGAAACACUCUAUGAUAUUGACUCUGUCCAGAGGAUUCUUGAUCACUUCAUGUUAACAUUUAAUUCUUCUUCAAGCUGUUACUUAGCAGAGGUAGAUUCUCAUCCUCUUAGGCCUAUCACAAAGGUUGCUUAAACCAAACCUAGUAACAUUGACUCACUCAUACUAUGUCUCAUGUGUUUUCUUCAUCGCCAAGUUUCCGUUGUUGUCAAGAAGUGGAUACCUAGAAACUCUCUUCAGCAAAGCCUCUGAGUCAACUUGUGUUGCCCAGCUUCAUGACAUUCCCGGUGGACCAGACACGUUCUUGCUCGUGGCCAAGUUCUGUUACGGUGCAAGAAUUGAGAUCACAACUGAAAACGUUGUGAGUCUCAGAUGUGCAGCUGAGUAUCUCCAAAUGAGUGAAACCUAUGGAGAUGCUAAUCUCAUCUCUCUCACCGAGAGUUACCUCAACGAUAAUGUUUUCACAAACUGGGAUGAUUCAAUCAAAGCCUUGGAGAGUUGUGAACACAAACUAAUACCUCUAGCUGAAGAACUUCACAUUGUCACUAGGUGCAUUGCUUCUUUAGCCAACAAGGCUUCUUAUGCAGAGGAUACUAUUACAUCUUGGAACGGUAUACAAACUAAGUCCACGAGCAGUAACUGGUGGCUCAGCGAUGUGUCUUCAUCCCUUGAUAUCUCAAUGUACAAAAGAUUCAUCAAAACUAUUGAAUCUAGAGGCGUGAAAGCUGAUACAUUAGCAGCAUCUGUCACGCAUUACGCUAAACGUAACCUUCCUUUACUUGGUAGUUCUAGGCACUGUGGUUCUUCAUCUUCAGAGGAAGGUACUAAUCAUGGUAAUGAUGGAAGUUACUACUCUGAUGAAGAUCAAAGAAGUCUCCUAGAAGAAAUAGUGGAGCUACUACCGAGCCAAAAGUGUGUUACAUCGACAAGAUUCUUGCUCAGGCUUCUUAGAACAUCCAUGGUUCUGCAUGCAAGUGAGGUCAUUCAGGAGAAUCUUGAGAGAAAAAUUGGUGUGCAGCUAGACGAAGCUGCUCUAGAGGAUCUGCUUAUACCAAACAUGGGAAACUCAGCUGAAACACUCUAUGAUAUUGACUCUGUCCAGAGGAUUCUUGAUCACUUCAUGUUAACAUUUAAUUCUUCUUCAAGCUGUUACUUAGCAGAGGUAGAUUCUCAUCCUCUUAGGCCUAUCACAAAGGUUGCUAGUCUGAUAGAUGGUUACUUAGCAGAGGUGGCUUCUGAUGAGAACUUGAAACUAUCUAAAUUUCAAGCACUUGGUGCUUUAGUCCCUGAAGAUGUGAGGCCAAUGGGUGAUGGUAUCUAUCGUGCAAUUGAUAUAUACAUCAAGGUAUACAUGUGUUAAUUUGAGUUAUUAUGAACAAGACCGGUCCUGAAAUUUUGAGAGAUAAACAAUUUAGUAAGGAUUUUUAUAGAUGUUUUUCAAUAAUUUUGGAUGCAUUUGUCUAUUGAAAAUAUUUAAAAAAAUUUAGGAGUCAUAGGCCAAUGUUUCAUUUGGGUAUAUACUCAUAUGACCGCUCCUGAUCGAUUGUGGGUUGCUUAUAUUAUUAUGAAACUAAUCUUUUGAAUGUCUCUAUAUGCAUGCAUAUGGUUUUGGAGAAACAGGCUCAUCCAUGGCUAACCAAGUCAGAGAGAGAGCAACUGUGUCUGCUUAUGAACUGCCAGAAACUAUCAUUGGAGGCAUGCACACACGCAGCACAAAACGAGCGUCUACCUUUGCGAGUCAUAGUACAAGUCUUGUUCAUUGAACAGAUGCGGCUUCGGACAUCAAUAGCAGGAUGGUUCUUUGACACGGACAGCAACAAUGACGACACAAGCGGCAAGUGUCAUACACAAGAGGGAGACAACGGAAAUGCAAAUAUGGUGCUGAAUGGGACGAUGAAGGAACGUGUUUACGAGCUUGAGAAAGAAUGUACGAGCAUGAAGCAAGAUCUUGACAAGCUUGUCAAGACAAAAGAAGGCCGUAGCUUCUUCUCUAAGUUAUUCGGAUUGAGGUCUAAAACUAAGACUUCACCAGGAGAUGAAGACGGUCUAAGGAAAGAGUAACAACUAGUAACGAGAGUUGCAUGGUCACUAGAGACACUUUUGGUUCAUUUUGUUCUUGAAUUUUAUAUUGGAAACUCUCUGAAAUCAUAUGAUCUUAGAUUUAGAAUCUCUUAUACUUUCUGGAAUCAUAUCAUCUAGUUAAUUUAUGCAUCUUUUGAAGUUAGUUAUAUCAGAGUUGGAAGUCUUUCUUUCUUGUCAUAAGGAUUGCCGACACAGCCUUUUGGGGCCAAGAGUGUCCAUCAUGUAAAUGUAAAAACUAGCAUAGCCAUUGGACAGAAGUGAGAUUAUAUAUUGGUUAAAGGGGAAAAGUAUAGUUUUGAAUUUGAGUCCAUGCUAAAUAGUUUUUGAGAUAAAUGUCAAUCACCAACCAAAUAAAAGUCCCCCAUCCAUAAUAAAAUAGGUCCCAAUUUUUUUGAAGUGGGGUUUAGAACUCCUGAAGAUCAAACAAAAAAAACAUAUGUAACUAGAGAGAGACACCAAAGGAAGGGUGAGGAAGAUUAUUAACGGAUUUGUGAAUGGGAAUAAAUUUCCGAGCCUUAACAUGUUUUCCAUUAAUGGUGAACUUGGUCGGGCACGCCUCAUCCUUUACAAUCUCUGGAAUCUUGGCGGCAGAACGUAACACCAUCCUUGCAUACAGCGCUUGCAGGUCCUUCCCUCCUACUCCACCCAUGUGUAUCGCUUCCACAAUAUCUCCAAAUCUCCUACAACACCAAAAAUGUAUAUACUACUGUUUAAAACACACUACCGUGAUAAUCUUUAAACCACAUGCAUGCCAGCUAGAACGGUUGAAAAUUAAUCUAUAAGACUAUAAGUAAUGAUUGUGUUACAUUGUUAAUUAGAAGAAUGCAUGGUAGAUUAGGGCAAGAUUAUCGGUGUCCUUAGAGGCAUAUCUUAGCAAUUAAACACUCAUAAUUAAAUGAAAAAUAGCCAAUAAGAAUAAGGACGCCUCUUAAUUAAGAAGUUUUCUAUGUUGUCCUUACGAGCCACCUGUCUCACAGGAGGGAGUUUUACCUUCUUCUCUCCACAUCUCUCUCGAGACAGAAAUUGAUCGAUUUUUUUCUUCACCAAUUGUAGAUCCCUCUGUUUCCCUCGUAGAUCUUCUCCUCUCUCUGUUUUCCUCGCUUGAGACCGGUGGUGUUCGAUUUGAAGGACUUUGGAGGUGUCGGCAAUGGGGUCACGGACUCACGGUUGACACCGAGGCGUUUGAGAGAGCGGUGGUGGAGAUUUGCAGCGUAACGCAUUGGCUGGCUUGCCUGAGAUUCUUGUCACCACACCUGCUUGUAUUCCUAAGUGUUUUGCAGAUGGGGUUUUAGAUCCCGCAGCUAUCAGUGAAUCGCUUGAGAUUUUGGUUCUUGAUGAGGUAUGAUAAAUAUUCUCCUUUGGAUUUUUUUAGGUUCAAUGGUUUAUAGUGGUGAUGAGAAGUAACAUUAGCUUUGUGAAUUGUGACUUUUCUAGAUAAUCAAGUAGUAUAACUGUCUUGAACGGUGGAAACAUGUUUGAAAAAUGUUGUCUUGAGAAGUUGUCUUGAGAAGUUGUCUUGAACGGUGGAAACAUGUUUGAAAAAUGUCAGUUCUGAUGUUGAGAAAUUGAAGAAAUUGAUUCUGCACAACCCGGUAGUCUUGACCUUGCAAGAAGGUUCUGACAAGGAAGAGCCCGUCCCAAGUAAUGUGCAGCAGUUUUGGGUAUGAUUCAAACGCUUAGCUUUGCUUAAGUAAAUUUCUUGGUUAUGUUCACAGUUGUGGUUCUGAUUAAUGAUGACUAUUGUGUUAUCUUGUUUUAGAUUUCUUGCAGUACUCAGGAUAAACUACUACACAUUCUUGCUCUCCUGAAGCUAGAGGUUGUUCAGAAGAAAGUUCUGAUAUUCAUCAAUACUAUUGACAUGGGUUUCAACGGCCAUUGACACCGGUGAAAAGUGUAAGCUACUGUCAUUGAUUCUCGUUCUUGUGCUUGCUUCUUGUUAUUGAUUCAUGUUGUUGUUUGUUUCAGGAUUGGACUCUCUUGCAACACACAGGUAUUGAGAGCAUCCGUGUCACGUACUCACGGAUUUCUUCUUAUUUCACCAAACGUUCCAUGUUAAGUUCUUUCUUCUUUCUUCUAUCUCAAGUUUUUUAUCUAAACACAAGAUCAAACGAUUCAAAUUAUUUAUCUAAACACAAGUUCUAGCUCAAACUCUUUCUUCCAUCUCAAGUCUUAUAAAACAAGAAAAAUCCUACCAAUAAUCUUUAAUUUAUGGAUUGUCCUUAGCUUUGUCUUUUAAUAUAAAAGUAAUAAUAAAAUAUGUUAAGGACUUAAAAAUUGUCCUACCAAUAAUGUUGCCCUUAUAAUGGGGUCCUAGACUCCUAGCUAAUUAAAUAAUUGGGAGUAUAAGAACUAGGCAAGGCCUUGGCCUUGCAUGCAUGGCUUAUAAUUAUAUGGAUUCAGUACCUGGUGAAAUAUUCAUACACUUCUACUUCAGAGAUUGGGUAUCCUUUAGAGAAUGUGAGGAAGACAGUCCUGUCCUCAGCCGUUAGUUGCUGUCCCUCAACGUUGCUUGUUCCUGCUGCAUGAUUAGUUGUUGCUUGUUGACCACACAAGAAGUGGCUAGAGGUAUGCAUCUUCUCCUUGUUGUGCAUCUCAAAGCGCACGCAUAUAUCCUCAAAAGCUGGGUAGCAUAUACUCGUUAAAUGCUUCUUCAUCUCAAGGAGAAUGUCUUCGCGCUUUUGGUGGAUGCCUUCGAGAGUAAAGUUCUGUCUGGUCAUACGCCUGAUCCAAGGUAUAGAUAAGGAGUUGAUAUUUUUCAAGCUGGCCACGAACGAUGGGAAAUUUUCGUAGGAUAAGCAGCGCAGACACAUGACGACUUCGUCAACGACGCUGUUGAUGAAAAGGUCCGGGAAUGAAACAAGAUUAAAGAUUAGUUUGCUCAUGAAAACACUUUUCUCGAGAUAGAUGAGAAAGCACAUAAUCUCAAAAGACAGGCUAAUGUCUCGUCUUAGACUUAUGACAAUACGAGUGAAAAGAUCUCUUUCAAACUUGUGGAAAGCGUUGAACUCUUCUCUGGUGAUGGAUAGUGAGGAUGAAAAAGAUGAAGAAUCCAUGAGCCUUUUUUUCACUAAGCAGAUAUGAAAUUUUGAUAUUUUUGCUUUUGUUUUGAGAGCAUGUGAAUAGAGGUGGUAAGAGAUGAAAAUAUAGGUAGAGUUUUGAAAUGGUGAAUAUGUUUUUGGUCAUAUCUCAUUUUCUGUAUUAAGAGAUAUACCUUCAUGCACCAAAUCUAUAUUAAUUUGAUUUUCCUAUAAAUGUCCUCAUUUUCUUUAUUUUUCAAAUAAUAUCCUAUACUCUUAAAUAGGUACAACAUUUUUUUUAUUUUUUUUUGGGGGGUGUAUCUUGGAGUUGGAUAAAAUUUCAUGUGAUUCAGUAAACAGAAUAGAAAUUCCAUUAUUGCUAGAUCGAAUUCUAUCUAUAUGAUUCGGUGAAGAAUGAGAUAUGGGAUUUUUAAAAUAAACGGAUAAAUGAUAAAUUCAAAAAAGAUGCUCGGGGAUGGAAAAGAGGGAACAUCUACAAUACCCGGAUUUAAUCAGAUACAAUUUGAAGGGUUUUAUCGGUUUAUUGAUCAGGGUUUAAUAGAAGAACUUUCGCAAUUUCCAAAAAUUGAAGAUAUAGAUCACGAAAUUGAAUUUCAAUUAUUUGUGGAAACAUAUCAAUUGGUAGAACCUCUGAUAAAAGAACGAGAUGCUGUCUAUGAAUUACUUACAUAUUCUUCUGAAUUAUAUGUAUCCGCGGGAUUAAUUUGGAAAACCAAUAGGAAUAUGCAAGAACAAAGAAUUUUUAUUGGAAACAUUCCUUUAAUGAAUUCCCUUGGAACUUCUAUAGUAAACGGAAUAUACCGAGUUGUGAUCAAUCAAAUAUUACAAAGUCCUGGUAUCUAUUACCAGUCAGAAUUGGAUCAUAACGGGAUUUCGGUCUAUACCGGCACCAUAAUAUCAGAUUGGUUAAUAAUAACAAUGUCUUUUUUAUGUUCUUUCUGGUCUUCUCUUGCGGGUCUUGUUUAUAUGUCGUCUGCAACCACAAAAAUUACUAUGUGUAUCUAAUAAUUACUUGCGUGUUUUGCUUAUAUGUCGUCGAGUAUUUAAUAAUCAAUAUGUGUUUAUGCAGGUAGACAUAAACAUGGGACUCCACAGCUACAGCCAGCCUUCGCAGUCUGACGAUAUAUUUUGCAACUCAGAGGACGGUAGCUUCAGCGAGAUGGAAGAUCUCAUUCGACGUGACCAAGCUGAGUUAAGCUUACACGCUAGUUCACAGGUUCAGUAUCCUCCUCAACCAGAGGUUGAGUUUGGCAUCCCACAAACUUGUUACUGCGGUGCUAAGCCUCUCCUUGCAACAUCUCGGACUGAUCCAGGUUAAGUAAAAUCUCGUCUAGUCUUGUAAAGGGUAAUCACCUCCUGAUAUACUGUCUUCUUCAUAGUCUUGCGUGUGUGUUCACCACAGGUAGACGAAUCUACACAUGUGAGAACGUGGACGAUGGAGAGUGCCAUGUUUGGAAAUGGUGGGAUGAAGCCAUGAUGGAAGAGAUGCGAGCCCGAGAUCGACAUGUGAUUCAGCUAGAGGAAAAGGUGGACAAUCUUUCACUUUGCAGUGACAUCGAGACUGACCAGCGACUGGUUAGAGUUGAGAAAAUGGUGGGUGAUAUAGGAAAGGAACAAUCCAAGCUUAGGCUGGGAUUUGAGUACUUUGUAAGUGCAAUGAUUGUGGUGACAGUUUUACUUGGAAUUGUGCUGAUGGUUAAGUAAAUGAAGAUGGUGAUGUAUUGAACUUUAUGUAAUAUGAUGUAUGGACUUCGAACUUUAUGUAAUAUGAUGUAUUGAACUAUAUGUAUUAUGUCUUAAUGUAUCAGACUUUAUAGUGUAAGUGUUUUGUUAUGUAGUUUUUUUGCAUUUUAACGCAUAGAUUUGCAUGGCCACAGAAACAGGUUGCGUUGAUUUCAAAUAUACAAUUAUAUCAGAACAUGUACUUUCCAUUGUUUGUUUGUAUCACGGGAAAGAAAGCUUUAAGUCACAAGAUGAGAUGAGAGUCACGAGAUGAACUAAAGACCAAUUAUAAAUAAGACACUUCUUCUUUCAUAAACACUUGUACUUCUCCUUACAUUCAUAUCUUCUUCUUUCUUUCAUAACUUCGUUUUUCAUAAACACUUCCACUUCUCCUUGUUUCAUUCCUUUAAAUUUCUUUUUAAAAAUGGCAUCUUCUUCCCAUUAUCAUUACCAUAGAGGAGGUGAUGAUAAUGCAUUUGAAGGCGUAUUUGAUGAUAUAUUUGAAGAUCUCGAAGCUAUUCCCGAACCAAAAGAGCGAAAAAAACGUAUUUUUAUCGAGAGAAAUCGGGAAGAAGGCCACAACAACCUUUGGAAUGAUUAUUUUAGCGACACUCCAACAUAUCCGCACAAUUUGUUCCGCCGACGAUUUCGAAUGAACAAGUCAUUGUUCUUAUAUAUUGUGCAUCGUCUCUCUACUGAAGUUGAGUAUUUUAAACCCAAAGAAGAUGCAACCGGACGGUCUGGUUUAUCGCCUCUCCAGAAAUGUACCGCAGCAAUUCGUCAAUUGGCGUAUGGUGGUGGAGCUGAUCCCGUAGACGAAUAUAUACGACUUGCUGAAACAACAUCUCGUAAAUGUUUGCACGAAUUUACCGCCGGAAUAAUCCACUUGUUUGCCGAUGAAUACCUCAGACGUCCCACAGUGGAGGAUCUUCGGAGACUACUCCAUGAGGGUGAAGAACGGGGAUUUCCCGGAAUGAUUGGAAGCAUCGACUGUAUGCAUUGGGAGUGGAAGAAUUGCCCCACUGCCUGGAAAGGAAUGUAUUCACGAGGAACCGGAAAACCAACAAUUGUGUUGGAGGCCGUUGCUUCAUAUGACCUCUGGAUAUGGCACGCUUUCUUUGGCGCUCCAGGUACUUUGAACGAUCUUAAUAUUCUGGAUAGAUCACCUGUUUUUGAUGAAAUUAUUAACGGGAAAGCUCCCCAAGUAAACUACUAUGUCAACGGAAGGGAAUACAAUUUGGCGUAUUAUCUGACGGAUGGUAUCUAUCCAAAAUGGGCGACUUUUAUUCAGUCUAUACGACUGCCACAGGGUGCAAAAAAUUCUUUAUUUGCUACGCGUCAAGAAUCCGUUCGAAAAGAUGUCGAGCGGGCCUUUGGGGUCCUCCAAGCUAGGUUCGCCGUUGUUAGAAAUCCUUCUAAUCUAUGGGAUAAAAACAAAAUAUCGAAUAUUAUGCGAGCAUGUCUCAUACUCCAUAAUAUGAUUGUCCAAGAUGAACGGAAUUCAGAUACUCUUGAAGAAUUUCAAGAUGACGAUUUUACUUUUACCGUCAAAAAGGCUAAAAAACCCGGCAAUAUAAUUGCUCGUCGUAAAGAAGUUCGGGAUCCACAUAUCCAUCAACAAUUAAAAGAAGAUUUGAUUGAACAUAUAUGGGAUAAAUUUGGACAUCUUCCAAAUUACAUAUAAUGUGUUUUUGCUUUCUAUGAUUUAAAUAAAAUGUUUCUCUUAUUUUAUUUAUGCAUUUUGUAAUUUUUUUCCACUCCUUUGUAUUUUAAUUUUCAUGUUCUACGUAUUUUAAUUUUCAACUUUUCUUUAUAAUGUCAUAAGUUAUUCGAUAAUUUAUCUUCAAUUAAUAAAAAAAAAAUUAAUUCACUAAGGGACUUUCAUAAGUCCCACCAAUAAUCUAAUUUCUAAAGGAAAAUCCCUAAAUAUGACCUUAACUCACAAAUAACCUUAAAAUAUUCUAAGGGCCAAAAAAUCAAGACCCACCUAUAAUGUUGCUCUUAUAAAGUUUCAUUUAUAUUAUAAGGUCAUGGCCAUCCAAUCCAGUUAUUACUUCUUUCAUGUCAUUUUAAUCCAAGUAUAAAUAGUCAAGUUAGACAUGUGUUUUAAAGUCGAUACCGAGAAUUGUAUCUUUAACAUAAGGGUGUGCUUUCAUGAGCUUGUAAGGUAAGUGAAAAGCACAAAUGGCUAAAAUGAAAGGUUCUAAGGUUUUGUAUUCGAUCUUAGGAUGUGUGAGGAUAGAAAACGUGUAAGGUGAGUGUUUGCUUUUGCUUAGUGUGUUGUUUACAGAGAGAUUUGUAAGUUAAUUUUAUCACAGCUGAAAGUCUUUUCCUUUCAUAAGGAUUUCCCAAAACAUUCAUUUGGGUCCAAGAGUGGCCAGCAUGCAGAUGCAGAGAUUAGCAUAGCCAUUGGGGACAAGGGAGAUUAUAUUGCUUAAAGAGGGAAAAGUAUAGAAAUUGAAAGAUGUAAACAAACAAAUUUGAGUCGAUGCUAAAUAGUUUUGAGAUAAAUAUCAAUCACCAACCAAAUAAAAGUCCCCCAUCCAAAAUAAAAUAGGUCCCAAGUUUAUUUAAGAGGAGGGCACAUGCAUAUGCCCUUGGAACUCCUCAAGAUCAAAUAAGAAGAUUAUUUAACGGAUUUUGCGAUUGGGAAUGAAUCUUCGAGCCCAGAAAUAUUUUCCAUUAAUGGUGAAUUUGGUCCUGUCAAGCCCAUCGCUUACAAUCUCUGGAAUCUUGGCGGCAGAACGUAACACCAUGCAUGCAUACAUCGCUUGGUCCUUCCUUUUCCCUCCACCCAUGUGUAUUGCUUCUACAAUAUCUCCAAAUCUCCUACAACACCAAAAAGUUAUACUACUGUUUAAAACACACUACCGUGAAAACAUCCACAUGCAUGCAUGGCCGUGCCAAACCAUAAUGUUUUAAAAAACCUAUACUAUACAUAGUGAAAAUUCUCAAAAUACGAGGUCCUAGUUAGUUAGGAAGGGACUUGGCCUUGCAUGCAUGGAUUAUAAAUGGAUCCAGUACCUGGUGAAGUAAUCAUGCACUUCUGCUUCAGAGAUCGGGUAUCCUUUAGAAAAUUUGAGGAAGAUAGUCCUGUCAUCUGCCCUUACGUGCUGACCCUCAACGUUGCUUGUUCCUGCUGCUACACGAUUACUUGUUCCUUGUUGACCACACAAGAACUGAAUAAACUUCCUCUCCUUGUGCGUCUCAAAGAGAACGCAUAUAUCCUCGAAAGCUGGGUAGCAUAUAGUGUUUAAAAUAUCUGUCAUCUCAAGGAUAAUUUCGUUGCGAUUCAGGUGGAUGACUGCGAGAGUCAACUUCUCUCCGGUCAUACGCCUGAUCCAAGGUAUGGAUGCGGCGUUGAUGCUCCCCAUGCUGGCCAGGAACGUUGGGAAAUGUGUGUAGGACAAGCAACGUCGACAUAUCUGGACCUCGUCAACGACGGUGUUGAUGGAAUGGUCAGGUAAAGAAACAAGAUUGCUGAUUAGUUUGCUCCCGCAAACACUUCUAUCGAGAUAGAUUAGAAAGGACAUGACCUGAAAAGACUGGGUAAUGUCUUCUUUUAGACUUACGACAAUACGAGUGAAAAGCGCUCUGUCAAAACUGUGGAAAGCAUUGAACUCUUCUCUCGUGAUGGGUAGUGAUGAUGAAGAAGAUGAGGAAUCCAUGAACAUUUUUUUCAAUAAGCAGAGAUGAAAUUUUUAAAUGUUUAUCUUUGCUUUUGAGAGCAUGUGGAUAUAUAGGUGGUAAGAGAUGAAAAUAUAGGUGGAGUUUAGAAAAGAAAUCCAGUGAAAUGGUGAAUUUAUUUUUUUGUCAUGCCUUAUUUUCUUUAUUAAGAGAUAUACCUUCAUGCACCAAAUCUUUUUCAUUUGAUUUUCCUAUGCAUGUUCUCAUUUGGUUUAUUAAGAGACAUUUUCAUGCACCAAAUCUAUAUUCAUUUGAUUUUCCUAUAAAUGCCAUCAUUUUUUCUUCCCAUAAAUUUCCUCUACUCUUAAAUAGUUACAACAUUAUUUAUAAUUUUGGGGGUCAUUUAUAAAAUUUCAUUUAUAUUAUAAGAUCAUGGCCCUCUUAAUAUUUCCCUCAUCUUACUAUUCCACUAAAAACUAAACAUGGUUUAUUUAAUUGAUAUAUAGGACUUCACUUAGUGGUGGAUCUAGGAAGUAAUUUUAGUGGGGGCAAAUAAAUUAAUAUAUUUAAAUUAAAUACUAUUACAAAAAUAUUUAUAUAAUUUUUAAAAAGUUUUAUUUUAAAAGUUAAACUGAUACAGCUAAAAUAAUUCUUUUGAAAAGAAAUAUAAGAUGAGGUCACUAACAAAAUAAAAUGAAAUAAAAUAAUAGAAUAAGUUGUCAAUAAUAUUGAAAGUUUGAGUGACAAAAGAAAUUACUAUGCUUUAUGUAUAUAGUUACAAUAUUAUUUAUAAUUUUGGGGGUCAUUUAUAAAAUUCAUUUAUAUUAUAAGAUCAUCAUCAUGGCCCUCUUAAUAUUUUCCUCCUCUUUUUUUUUUUUUUGAAUGAAUGUAAAAUUUAUUCAAUCAAAACUUCUAUUACAUCAAGUGCCUCUGUUUUUCAAUUUUGCAAAUAAACAGAUAAAACUAUUUUGAGUAAAUCUUCACUAACAUUUUAAAAACUAAAAAGAGCCUUGCAUUCUUGUUCCAAACCAAGUGCUUAGACCCUCUUCAAGAUAUCUUUGACCCCUCCCCUUAACUGCUAACAACUUCAGUCUUAUCAAUUUAUCCACACAUCUGAUCAAGACUUUGUCUUCUCGCGGUUGCUCACCAUGCCUUCGAGCAUUACGUUCUCUCCAUAUAUUAUGCACCAAAGCUUGAAACGCAUACCGAAGGAGAUACAUCUCAGUGGCUGUGAAGCUAGGCUUCUGCUGAGAAAUAUUUUCCUCUUCUUAUUCCACUAAAACUGAACAUGGUUUAUUCAAUUGAUAUAUAGAACUUCACUAGAAUUGAAGGAUUUGUAUAACUGAUACAUUAGUUAGAAUUGAUGUGUUUGUGGGACAGUAGUGAAAAGAAAUUGGAUAGAAAUUUUUUUUUUUUGGGCAAAAAUUAAGGUUUUCAAUUUUCAACAAUGUGGCGCGUGGGUAUUGUAGUUGUCACGUAAAUACGUGUUUCCGUUUCAGCCAUGUAAAAUAUACCUUGACAUUAGGCCAUUUAAGUUCUCUGUUCCAAAUACGGACCAGACCGACCGGUUCGGUUCUGCAAUCAGCCGAUACUCUCAAAUGUUCCCCACAUAUACUCUCUCUUGUCGUCUCUUUUCGUUAAAAGCCCAAAAGGGUAAAUAUUACAUGGAUCAAGUCCGACAAUUCUGAGUACAGCAGGCCCAUUCCCACAUAUACUUAUUAAACCGGUUGGUAAUGAGUGACUGGUUAUUCAAAUCAUAUAUAAUUAGUUUUGGUUUAACCAUUGUAAAUAGAAUCCUCUUAAUUACAUAAAAAGGUUCUAAUCAACCAAAAUCAAAAUGGUAUAACCAAUCAGAGUGUAAAUUUUAUGAAAUUAUUUUUGUUGUAACUUGUGAAAAAUCUCAACAAAUAUCAAAGAAAAUUCAAAACUAAGAGCAUGUUUAUUGCAUAUCUCUUAGCGUAAUAUAAGAUACGGUUUCUUAGCUUUUAACUAAAAAAACUAAAAGACGUUUCUUAUAUCUUUUAUUUAAUUAAAAACUAAGAAACUGUAUCUUAUAUUACACUAAAAAAUUUAACUUAAUAAACAUACAAUAAACAUGCUCUAAUAUUUGGUUGUAAACUAUAAAAUAUUAUUUAAACAAUUAUACAGUCGAUAAUUUUAUUUAUAUAAUGAUUAUGAGGAAUAUUUCAACCAGUUGAUUAUGAUUGAACUUUUGUAAAACUUAAUUAAUUUUCUCAAUAACUCUUUAUUCAGGUCAUUAAUUAUAACAUUACAAAACUGAUUUGAAGACGGCUGUCGGUCCAACUUGAGAACCGCAAUUAGAAGCAAACUGGUCAAUGAUUUUGCCAACCGGUUCAAAGCUGUAUGUCUGAAAAACAGAAAAAGCUGUCAAGAAAAAAACAAACUUAAAUUAGUUUUUUAAAAAUUCGCAGCAAAUCAGCUCCUUGUCUUGACUGAUCUAAUCCCUAAUUCGACAAAGAAAGGGUUUGAGAUUGAAGCGUAGACGGACAUAACUCUAAGGUCCCGUGACCUUUGUCGUGAUUUAACAUCACGUGUCCGUCAUGCCCCUUUUUCAGCGGAAAAAGCCGCCGCCGCCGGAGAAACCGUCCGAGGACCUCCCGGAGGACGACGACACCCAAAACAAAUCGAAAAACCACAAGAAACCGAGCGGAGGGAAGGCGAAGUGGUCGUGCGUGGAUUCGUGCUGCUGGUUCAUCGGGUGCGUGUGCCUCACGUGGUGGUUCCUCCUCUUCCUCUACAACGCCAUGCCCGCGAGCUUUCCUCAGUACGUUACCGAGGCGAUCACGGGCCCUUUGCCCGACCCGCCCGGCGUGAAGCUGAAGAAAGAAGGUCUCAAGGCGAAGCAUCCCGUUGUGUUCAUCCCCGGGAUUGUUACCGGUGGACUUGAGCUUUGGGAAGGGAAACAGUGUGCUGAUGGUUUGUUUAGGAAGCGCCUUUGGGGUGGAACCUUCGGUGAAGUCUACAAAAGGUCAGCAAAAAGAUAUCUUCUUUAGAUUACUACUACUUCUGUUGUAUGUGUGUUUGUGUAAGGGAAGCAAUAGCUUUUCAAUUAAACACGUUUGAUCUAAAAAUGCCAGUUUCCGUGGAGUUUUAAGUCAAAUGUUAACGCCGAAUGUGUUACUGCACAUGCCUUUAGAUUACGUUCUUAACAAGUUGCUUUCUUUAUUGUCAUUGGAUUUACCUUUGCUUGCACGGAGUUGAUACUGAAGUAAUUGCUACCUAAAGUUGUGAAAAAUGUGUGUUUUAAACUGUGAUAGGUUGCUUUAUUCUUCAACUAUGCACAUGUGCAACCAAAAGUUAGUUUCUUUUCUCUUUUGAAUCAAAGUGCUUUUCUCAAAUGCUUUCUGAGAACUGAAAAAGAGAUUUUUAAAAGUUUCCACAUUAGUUAUGUCUUUAAUCUCAUCUGUCCUCGUUCUGUUAGCUAGCUAUGAACUCCUCUUUUGUAUGUUAUGAUCUGCAUCUUUCUUUUUUCGGCUCACUGAUCUUCUUUUUUUUGCUCUUUUAGAGAUGGGACAGUGUUACCGUUGGAGACUAAUAAUGUUAUUGUUUAUAGUAUCUUUAGAUGAUUGAUUAUUUUCUUUGAUUCAGGCCUCUAUGUUGGGUGGAACACAUGUCACUUGACAACGAAACUGGUUUAGAUCCUGCUGGUAUUAGGAUUAGAGCUGUGUCAGGACUCGUGGCUGCUGAUUACUUCGCUCCUGGCUACUUUGUCUGGGCGGUGCUGAUUGCUAACCUUGCACAUAUUGGAUACGAGGAGAAGAACAUGUACAUGGCUGCAUAUGACUGGAGGCUUUCGUUUCAGAACACAGAGGUUCUUCUCUCAUUAAACAAACUCUCUUAUUCUUUCUUUUAUCUCUUAGGUUCUAACUGUCUUUCAUAUGUUUGAAUCAUUAGGUGCGUGACCAGACGCUUAGCCGUAUGAAAAGCAAUAUAGAGUUGAUGGUUUCCACCAACGGUGGGAAGAAAGCAGUUAUAGUUCCUCAUUCCAUGGGGGUAUUGUAUUUCUUACAUUUUAUGAAAUGGGUGGAGGCACCAGCUCCUAUGGGCGGCGGUGGUGGGCCUGAUUGGUGUGCAAAGCAUAUCAAAGCGGUGAUGAACAUUGGUGGACCGUUUCUUGGUGUUCCAAAAGCUGUUGCAGGGCUUUUCUCUGCUGAAGCAAAGGAUGUUGCAGUUGCCAGGUAUUGAAUUAGCCACUAGAUAUCAGUUUUAAUAGUAGUGUUAUAUUGUCUCUGCUACUAUUAGUUUGGUUGGUUAGAUUUGCUGCUUUAUGAAACUGGAACUCUCUUGAGAUUUAAACAAUUGAUGAAUUUGGCAUUGUCACUUACGAAACUGGAACUCCCUUGCAGAGCGAUUGCACCAGGGUUCUUAGACACUGAUAUAUUCAGACUCCAGACGUUGCAACACGUGAUGAGAAUGACACGAACAUGGGACUCAACGAUGUCUAUGAUACCUAAGGGAGGUGACACGAUAUGGGGCGGUCUUGAUUGGGCGCCGGAGAAAGGGCACACUUGUUCUGGUAAAAAGAAAAGUAGCAACAAGACUCGAGGAGAAGCUGGUGAAAACUCAGUUUCCAAGACAAAGCCUGUUAACUACGGAAGAAUCAUAUCAUUUGGGAAAGAUGUGGCUGAGGCUGCGCCGUCUGAUAUUGAAAACAUUGAUUUUCGAGUAAGGACAUAUAAACUCUUAUACUUUUUCUGUGACUAGGUGAUUAAUAUAUAGGUUUUAUUUGGUGAUAGGGUGCGGUGAAAGGUCAGAGUAUCCCAAACAACACAUGCCGUGACGUGUGGACAGAGUACCAUGAUAUGGGAAUUGGAGGGAUCAAAGCUAUUGCUGAGUAUAAGGUCUACACUGCUGACGCGGUUAUAGAUUUGUUACAUUAUGUUGCUCCUAAGAUGAUGGCGCGUGGCGCCGCCCAUUUCUCCUAUGGGAUUGCUGAUGAUUUGGAUGACCCCAAGUACGAACAUCACAGGCACUGGUCCAAUCCAUUGGAAACAAAGUAAGUGAUUUGUUUUGGUACCAACUCUAUGCUUUGUCCUCAUGCAUUCAGUAUUAGUCUCUUAUUUUCCAUCUUGUUGAAUAUGCUUUAUCAAUUUAAAGCUAAGAGCAUUCCCGAUGGUACUCUAUUUUUCACUUUAAGAUAGAGUCGAGAGUAAAAAUGUUCCAAUAGUAUUCUAUUUUUUACUCUAUAAUAGAGUAAAAAAUGAGUUUACUUUGCAAAUAGAGUAGCUCAUUUAUUUUUUGCUGACCACUCUAUUUUUCACUAUAAAAUAGAUUAUCAUCGGAAUAUAAUUCAACUCCAGAGUUAUUCUAUUUUGAAGGAAAAAAUAGAGUGAACCAUGGAUAUGGUCUAACAUAGCUGUUUGAGUCUUUUUUUGAAAUGACUUGCUUAAUUAUGUUUAGCUUUUAAAGUUGAUACAUGUGAUGCUUGCUUAUAAAACAAGCUCUAGGAUGGCUUUGACGUGACAAAUAAAUCAACUUAUUCAAAAUCUAUUUAGCUGAAAACCCUUAAACCAGCUUCUAGUUUUAGAGUUUAUCUAUCCCAAUAAGGAUCAUUUUUCCUCUAUCUUAUCCUUAAAACCCUCGUUUGGUUUGUUCUGUUGUUUCAGGCUACCCAAUGCCCCUGAAAUGGAGAUCUACUCACUGUAUGGAGUUGGGAUACCAACAGAACGAUCAUACAUCUACAAGCUCAAUCAGUCUCCAGACAGCUGCAUCCCCUUUCAUAUUUUCACUUCUGCUCACGAGGAGGACAAAGAAAGCUGUCUGAAAGCAGGAGUUUACAACUCAAAUGCUUUCUGAGAACUGAAAAAGAGAUUUUUAAAAGUUUCCACAUUAGUUAUGUCUUUAAUCUCAUCUGUCCUCGUUCUGUUAGCUAGCUAUGAACUCCUCUUUUGUAUGUUAUGAUCUGCAUCUUUCUUUUUUCGGCUCACUGAUCUUCUUUUUUUUGCUCUUUUAGAGAUGGGACAGUGUUACCGUUGGAGACUAAUAAUGUUAUUGUUUAUAGUAUCUUUAGAUGAUUGAUUAUUUUCUUUGAUUCAGGCCUCUAUGUUGGGUGGAACACAUGUCACUUGACAACGAAACUGGUUUAGAUCCUGCUGGUAUUAGGAUUAGAGCUGUGUCAGGACUCGUGGCUGCUGAUUACUUCGCUCCUGGCUACUUUGUCUGGGCGGUGCUGAUUGCUAACCUUGCACAUAUUGGAUACGAGGAGAAGAACAUGUACAUGGCUGCAUAUGACUGGAGGCUUUCGUUUCAGAACACAGAGGUUCUUCUCUCAUUAAACAAACUCUCUUAUUCUUUCUUUUAUCUCUUAGGUUCUAACUGUCUUUCAUAUGUUUGAAUCAUUAGGUGCGUGACCAGACGCUUAGCCGUAUGAAAAGCAAUAUAGAGUUGAUGGUUUCCACCAACGGUGGGAAGAAAGCAGUUAUAGUUCCUCAUUCCAUGGGGGUAUUGUAUUUCUUACAUUUUAUGAAAUGGGUGGAGGCACCAGCUCCUAUGGGCGGCGGUGGUGGGCCUGAUUGGUGUGCAAAGCAUAUCAAAGCGGUGAUGAACAUUGGUGGACCGUUUCUUGGUGUUCCAAAAGCUGUUGCAGGGCUUUUCUCUGCUGAAGCAAAGGAUGUUGCAGUUGCCAGGUAUUGAAUUAGCCACUAGAUAUCAGUUUUAAUAGUAGUGUUAUAUUGUCUCUGCUACUAUUAGUUUGGUUGGUUAGAUUUGCUGCUUUAUGAAACUGGAACUCUCUUGAGAUUUAAACAAUUGAUGAAUUUGGCAUUGUCACUUACGAAACUGGAACUCCCUUGCAGAGCGAUUGCACCAGGGUUCUUAGACACUGAUAUAUUCAGACUCCAGACGUUGCAACACGUGAUGAGAAUGACACGAACAUGGGACUCAACGAUGUCUAUGAUACCUAAGGGAGGUGACACGAUAUGGGGCGGUCUUGAUUGGGCGCCGGAGAAAGGGCACACUUGUUCUGGUAAAAAGAAAAGUAGCAACAAGACUCGAGGAGAAGCUGGUGAAAACUCAGUUUCCAAGACAAAGCCUGUUAACUACGGAAGAAUCAUAUCAUUUGGGAAAGAUGUGGCUGAGGCUGCGCCGUCUGAUAUUGAAAACAUUGAUUUUCGAGUAAGGACAUAUAAACUCUUAUACUUUUUCUGUGACUAGGUGAUUAAUAUAUAGGUUUUAUUUGGUGAUAGGGUGCGGUGAAAGGUCAGAGUAUCCCAAACAACACAUGCCGUGACGUGUGGACAGAGUACCAUGAUAUGGGAAUUGGAGGGAUCAAAGCUAUUGCUGAGUAUAAGGUCUACACUGCUGACGCGGUUAUAGAUUUGUUACAUUAUGUUGCUCCUAAGAUGAUGGCGCGUGGCGCCGCCCAUUUCUCCUAUGGGAUUGCUGAUGAUUUGGAUGACCCCAAGUACGAACAUCACAGGCACUGGUCCAAUCCAUUGGAAACAAAGUAAGUGAUUUGUUUUGGUACCAACUCUAUGCUUUGUCCUCAUGCAUUCAGUAUUAGUCUCUUAUUUUCCAUCUUGUUGAAUAUGCUUUAUCAAUUUAAAGCUAAGAGCAUUCCCGAUGGUACUCUAUUUUUCACUUUAAGAUAGAGUCGAGAGUAAAAAUGUUCCAAUAGUAUUCUAUUUUUUACUCUAUAAUAGAGUAAAAAAUGAGUUUACUUUGCAAAUAGAGUAGCUCAUUUAUUUUUUGCUGACCACUCUAUUUUUCACUAUAAAAUAGAUUAUCAUCGGAAUAUAAUUCAACUCCAGAGUUAUUCUAUUUUGAAGGAAAAAAUAGAGUGAACCAUGGAUAUGGUCUAACAUAGCUGUUUGAGUCUUUUUUUGAAAUGACUUGCUUAAUUAUGUUUAGCUUUUAAAGUUGAUACAUGUGAUGCUUGCUUAUAAAACAAGCUCUAGGAUGGCUUUGACGUGACAAAUAAAUCAACUUAUUCAAAAUCUAUUUAGCUGAAAACCCUUAAACCAGCUUCUAGUUUUAGAGUUUAUCUAUCCCAAUAAGGAUCAUUUUUCCUCUAUCUUAUCCUUAAAACCCUCGUUUGGUUUGUUCUGUUGUUUCAGGCUACCCAAUGCCCCUGAAAUGGAGAUCUACUCACUGUAUGGAGUUGGGAUACCAACAGAACGAUCAUACAUCUACAAGCUCAAUCAGUCUCCAGACAGCUGCAUCCCCUUUCAUAUUUUCACUUCUGCUCACGAGGAGGACGAAGAAAGCUGUCUGAAAGCAGGAGUUUACAAUGUGGACGGAGAUGAAACAGUGCCGGUCCUAAGCGCAGGGUUCAUGUGUGCUAAAGCCUGGCGCGGUAAGACGAGAUUCAACCCUUCCGGAAUCAAGACUUACAUUAGAGAGUACAACCACUCUCCACCGGCUAACCUUCUAGAAGGGCGGGGGACUCAGAGUGGGGCUCAUGUUGACAUCAUGGGAAACUUUGCGUUGAUCGAGGAUAUCAUGAGAGUUGCCACGGGAGGUAACGGGUCCGAUCUAGGACAUGAUCAGGUCCACUCUGGUAUAUUUGAAUGGUCUGAGCGUAUUGACUUGAAGCUGUGAAUAUUUUGAUCUCUUUGAGCUGUCAGCUGUUUACUUGCAAGAGAGAUCAUCAUGGUCCUGGUCAUGGUCAUCAUCAUGAUCACGAUGCUCAAGUCACAAAGAAGCCUGAGGUUGAUAUUUGUGCUGGUCCAAUAUUCUCACAUACCUUUUUUUUAUAUACUCUUAUUGAUGUAAAUUAUACGAUCUUGUUUAUGUUUUGUCCUUGGAACGAUAAUGCAAGACUUGCUGCGCCAUGUUGUUUGUCUUGUCGGAAACAUCACUUUAGGCCUGGGGUUCGGUUUUAGGUUUUGGUUUUUCGGUUAUGAAGAUAUAAAAAUUGUUAGGUUAUUUAUGAAUUUUAGUUUGGUUAUUUCAGACGGUUAUUGAUUCGAAUGAUAAUAUUAGGAACAGACUAAUAACGAUAUUUUUUUUUAAAAUCCAAUUUGGUUUUGGUUUUUUUGAUAAUUAUGAUAAAAUAUCAAAUAAUUUGGAUAAAAAUUUAAAUAACUAGGUUCUUUGAAUAAUUUUAACUAUUUCAGAUAAAAAUUAUUUGGAUAAUGUUUUCUGGUAGUUCGGUUUAUGAGUAGUAUUUAAAAAUAUUUGAUAAUCUUAACAUUAAAUACAAUUAAUAUUUUAAAUAUAUAAACUGCAUUUUAGAUAUUUAGAAACUAAUUCAAUUUUUUUUUCGGCUUUGAUUCGAUUUCCAUUUUAGUAAUAUAAGAACUGUUCGGACAUCUGUGAACAUUAGUUUAUAUUCGGAUUCAAAUUCGGUUCUGAUUCGGUUUCGGUUAUCUGUUUAUAUGACCAAAGCCUACAUCAGUUACUGAAAAAUACACAAAGAUAAGUCGAAGAGUUGUCAGACGUGGCUUAACCUGUUCCAUCUACUCCACACGAAAUCGUUGUCUUAACGAAAAGCGGCUCCUCCUAAAGGAAUAAAAGGAGCAAACAGCUUCUUCUCCCCCGUCCUCCUCUCCAACCAAAUAAAAUCCAUUUCCUCUCAAUGGAGCUGAGCUUGAGCACCUCUUCCGCUUCUCCAGCGGUUUUGAGGAGUCAAGCUUCUCCUCUCCUUCACAAGCAACAAGUGCUCGGCUUAACCUUUGCUUCCGCCCUUAAACCAGGAGGAGCUCUCCGGUUUACUCCCCCGCGCCGUCCGCUUCACCGUCCCAUCACUUGCUCUGUCUCUCCAUCAACCGCUGAACCAUCCUCCGGUAGUUUUAGUGUUUUCGCGCUUAAAGUUUGUCACUUUGAAUUGAACAAGAUAAGAUAAUGAUUGAUUGUGAGAUUGUUAAACUUAAAGGACAAAGCUUUCUUAUGUCUCUAGUAUGAUCAGUAGAGUUUCAAGCAGUUAAAUUCUAUCUUUUGAUUGGUGAUAGAGGUGAAGAAGAAGAAGACGUUGGUGAGGAGGGAUGACGUGAGGAACAUAGCAAUUGUAGCUCAUGUUGAUCAUGGCAAAACUACUUUGGUUGAUUCUAUGCUUAGGCAAGCUAAGGUAUUCAGAGAUAACCAAGUGAUGCAAGAGAGGAUCAUGGACUCGAACGACCUCGAGCGUGAAAGAGGAAUCACUAUCCUUAGCAAAAACACUUCCAUCACUUACAAAAACACGAAAGUGAAUAUCAUUGAUACUCCUGGCCACUCUGACUUUGGUGGUGAAGUGGAGCGUGUCUUGAACAUGGUUGACGGUGUGCUUCUUGUGGUAAUUUUUUAUGCUUUAUCUCAAUACUAUACAGUUAAAUUUCAGCUCUGUGUAUCUCAUUUUUCUUCUCCUUUGUCUCUUAGGUGGACUCUGUUGAGGGACCAAUGCCACAGACAAGGUUUGUUUUGAAGAAGGCUCUUGAGUUUGGACAUGCAGUUGUGGUGGUCGUGAACAAGAUUGACAGGCCUUCUGCUCGUCCUGAGUUUGUUGUCAAUUCCACUUUUGAGCUCUUUAUUGAACUCAAUGCUACUGAUGAACAGGUAUUGUUAAUUUUGGUCUUGUCUCUUAAAUUACAUGACACUAACGUUAGUGUUUGUUUGGUGCGUGUGUGUGGUGUGUAGUGUGAUUUUCAAGCGAUAUAUGCCAGUGGGAUCAAAGGAAAGGCGGGGCUUACUCCGGAUGACCUUUCAGAAGACCUGGGACCACUGUUCGAGGCUAUCAUUAGAUGUGUGCCUGGGCCCAAUAUUGAAAAAGAUGGUGCACUUCAGAUGCUUGUGAGUUAUUGUGACUUUUAUGUGUUUGUUUCCAGCAGUGCCAAUGCAUUUUUACUCUUUCAUCUCAUUGGCUAAACUGAACACAUCAAAUACUUGUCUCUUACCAACUAAAAUCAUUCACUUGCUGUAAACCAAGCUUCAAAUCCAAAUGGAAAACUAGUUGAGCUGAGUAGAUGAAUUGUAUGAAACUUGUUUUUUUCUUUCCAGGCCACAAAUAUUGAAUAUGAUGAGCACAAAGGACGUAUUGCUAUUGGGCGGCUACACGCAGGGGCACUGCGCAAAGGGAUCGAUGUCAGGGUAACAUUUUGAUAAAUCUUCAGCUUUUUACUUACUUUGUUAUCGGAUAGCAAUGAUGUGGGCUUAUACGAAGAAAUAUCACCUGAAGCUAGUCAUUUUCUCAAGUCUUUCCACUUUUUAAAGCAGCUGGUUUAUUGUAAAACUUAUUGUGUAUAACUUUACAGGUGUGCACUUCUGAAGAUUCCUGUAGAUUUGCAAGAGUGAGUGAGCUCUUUGUCUAUGAGAAAUUCUACAGAGUACCUGCUGAUACAGUGGAAGCUGGAGAUAUUUGCGCUGUCUGUGGCAUAGAUGACAUUCAGGUACACGUAUAUUCAUGGAUAAUUGCUUGCUGCCACUUGCCAUUUUUUUUUCUUUUUGUUGCUAAUUGAGUUAUAACGUCUUGGUUUCUUUGUAAACCCUGCAGAUUGGGGAGACUAUUGCUGAUAAAGUACAUGGGAAGCCUCUACCUACAAUCAAAGUAGAAGAGCCAACUGUGAAAAUGUCCUUCUCUGUCAACACCUCUCCAUUUUCUGGUCGUGAGGUUAGUGUAAUCAUGGCUAAUCUGGCUGUCAUAAGUCUUAUCUUUCUCACUUUCGAUGGCUAACGAUAUUAAGAGGGAAGUUGUAAGUUGAAUUAGUGCAAAGUUUGAAUUAUAUUUUCCUUUUUGUAGGGGAAGUAUGUAACGAGCAGGAACUUAAGAGACCGUUUAAACCGUGAACUCGAAAGAAACCUAGCUAUGAAAGUGGAAGAUGGUGAGACAGCAGACACAUUCAUUAUCAGUGGGCGAGGCACAUUACACAUUACCAUCCUGAUAGAAAACAUGUAAGUUCACUUCACUAACCAUCACUCCUUUCAUGUGUUAUUGAAAGUAGCUGAACACAUAAUAAUGUUCCAGGAGAAGAGAGGGAUAUGAAUUUAUGGUUGGACCACCGAAAGUUAUCAACAAAAGGGUCAACGAUAAAUUGCUGGAGCCGUUUGAGGUGGCAACUGUCGAAGUACCGGAGAAUCACAUGGGUCCUGUCGUUGAACUUCUUGGGAGAAGGCGUGGACAGAUGUUUGAUAUGCAAGGUGUUGGGUAUGUAUUGUUGUUUCUCUCCAUCCCUUUUAUGAGAGAGAUGUGUGAAUCCUGUGAGACAUGACAGGUCGGAAGGAACAGUCUUUCUGCGGUACAAGAUCCCAACACGUGGACUACUCGGACUGAGGAAUGCAAUCUUAACAGCUUCUCGUGGGACAGCCAUCCUCAACACCGUGUUUGACAGUUAUGGACCUUGGGCUGGAGAUAUCAGCACCCGUGAUCUUGGUUCGCUGGUGAGUUAUGGAGUUUGAGAUAGUUUUUAGGAAUGAGAACUUCUGUGUGACACAUGUGGCAUUUUGUCUUUUCAGGUUGCGUUUGAAGAUGGGACAUCAACGUCGUAUGCGCUGGCGAGUUCGCAAGAGAGAGGGCAAAUGUUUGUAGGUGCAGGUGUGGAUGUAUACAAAGGUCAGAUAGUUGGGAUCCAUCAGAGACCUGGUGACUUGGGGCUUAACAUCUGCAAGAAGAA
rnacentral:lncRNA from 1 species